rnacentral:lncRNA from 1 species
GAAGAGAGAAAGAUGAAGAAGCUUACAGUGGGGAGAGAAACAUGGCACCAGAGAUGAUGUUUCCUGAAGUUAAGAAAAACAGGAAAUAGAAAAAGAUUGUUCAGAAGAGUGAAAUGAAAAGAAUAAGGAAGUUUAAAAGUGUUUAAAGUUGAAGCAGGAACCUAUGAUGCCAACCACUGUUCGAGCAAUAUCUGGUGGUGCUGUCAUGGUUGGAAUUAGCUGAGAGAAUUGUAGGAGAAAGGGAAUGGUAUAUAAAGAGAGAGAUAAAGUGGCGUUUGGUUACUGAAACAUGACUUGACGAAUGAAGUGCAAGAAAUGAAUUAGGAGGAGUCGGUGAAAGAAGCUGAAUAUGUAAGUAAAAUGAAAUUAGGGUAAUUGUAUAAAUGGAGUUUUGGUGGAUGAACAAGUGCAUGUAUUGGAUUGCCAAACUCCUCUCUUUCUACACCUGUAAGUUUUCUGCUCCUUAAAUAGACCCCGAAUGAGACAAGUUUCUCCACAAUUUAAUACCAGAUAAAUUCAACAAUUUUUUUUUACAUUUUUAAUAUUAUAUUAAAAUAUAUAUUUAAAAACUUUAUUCUUUUAAUAUUUUCUUAAUAUAAUAUAAGAGUUAUUUUAAAUUUAUUUUAAUACAAAAUUAUUAAAUUUAUUAGAUUAUUUGUUAUUAAAUGGUUAUCAUAUCACUUAAAAAUAUAUAAUUUUAUGCAUAAAUUAGUAAUUUUUGUUAAAAAAUUUAUCUGUCGAUUUUGAUUUUAUAAGAUUCAAUUAAAUUUAAAAUUUACUUUUCAAUAAAUUAAUUUAAUUUUAUAAAAUUAACUUAUAAAAUUUAUAGAACUAGUGACUGUUUUGCCUUUGCCUUCUUACCCAUGUGAAAUAUAUGGAACAAGGUUUUGUUUCAAAAUAGACUAUGAUGAAAAUACAAAAAUAUUAGUAUACAUGUAAUGUAAUGAAUAAAAGAAAUAUAAAUGUAAUAUUUUUAAACAAUUAAUGAGACAAAAAAGCAUCUAUCUUAGCAUGGGCAAAUAUCUAACAUUUCUUUAAAAUGCGUAAGCAUCUAGCUUGCCUCUACAUAGCUACGGGUAUUAUUGUACUUAUUUUUUAUCAAUUAAGAAGAAUAAAAGUAUAAAUAAAAAAAUAAAAAGUGUUUGUAAAGUCACAAAAUUCUAGAAGUGACUGAUAUAUUUUACGCAUAUAAAUAAUAUACUAAUUCUGUUGUAUAUUAUAAUAUACAAUAUUAUAUUAUUAAUAUUAAAAUGGAUAUUACAGUGAACUUUACAUUGUUUGGUUAUAUAAUACCUUUCCUUCUUUACAUCAAACAUUAUACAGAAUAAAAAAAUAUUCUUUAUUGCAAACAUAUUUUGUUAUUUUUGCUGUGGUUCCUUAGAUAUCAAUGGCACCCAGAGUCUUCUAAGUUGACGCUUUUAACAUGAUCACUACUCAGCCAUCGCUACAGUGAUAAAAGAAGGGACAAGAAAUUCUUCUGUCAUAACUCUAAAAUAAACAAAUAUCAUUAAAUAAAAACAAAGUAAUUUACUAAAGUACUAAAUGCAUUAAUCUUUGAAUGAAAUACGAUCAUUUGGAAUAUGUUUUUAAUACUUUUUAAAAAAAAUUAUUCAGUGAAAUAUAUUGGCUUUAUUCAAUAUAAGUAGGAGUACGUUUUUAAUAAUUCCACACUUUAUUUUAUAAAAUAGUAAUACGCUAAAAGUGGUAAAUAGUAAAAUGUUAAUAUUUAUUUUGACGAAAAUUUCAUUCCCACGUAUAUGUAUAUAUGAUGAUGUAUUGUAAAAUAUUCAGAGAUUUGAGAAUAGAGGAAAAAAUUUAAUUUGUACUAAAAAAAAAUCAUUAAAUAUCAAAUAGAAAUCAAUAUUUAGAUACCAAAAUUAGUUAUAUAGUCUCUAAAAUAUCUCUAAUUUAGUCACUAUAACAAUUAAUUAUUUUUUUUCUCUAAAAUUGAUUUCUAUUUCAUGAUUUUAAUGAUAGUAUCGUAGUGUUUAAUUAUAUUAAAUUUAUCUAAACAAUAUUUUAUAAACAAUUAUCUUUUUUAAGAACUCGAAAUAUGAUUAAAAGAGAGUUAUUACAAAUAAAAACACUUUAAAGUUUAUUAAAUAAGAUAAAAUUAAUUCAUCACUUUUUUUUCUUUCAUUUAUUUCAAGUGUGUAAAAUAUUUUAAAAUUAAGUAACAUUAAGGAUACGCUUGAAAAAUUAAGAUGGUAAAAUAACAUUAUGCUAAACUUCUAAAUGGAUAAAUAAAUAAAAACAAAAAAUAAUUUUAAACGUGGACAGAUAAGAAAAAUAACCAGGAGUAUUUAUUAUUAAUUUAACACUAAACAACUCUUUAUAUAUAAUAGAAAAAUUUAUUAACUAAUUUUGUAAAUUUUAGGACCAAUAUUGAGUAAGAUGAUAUGGUCAUGUUGAAAAAAGACACAUGUUUUUUUUUUAUAAAAUAAGAACUAAACAUUAUUAUUAGUUGUAUACCCUCACUAAUUAUAUUUAAUAAAAUUUGUCUCUUUCUCUUUUCAUCGUUAUCACAUUAAUGUAAAAUCCUUAAUUUUUUUUACUAUUUUUUUGUUGAUGAAUAAUCAAAAUACUUAGUCCUCUGUGAUACCUAGGUUCACCACUAUAUUUGAUAAUUCCACAACCUUCAACUCAUUUGGUGAAUAAACUGUUGGACAAUGAAAUUUGCCAACUAUUUGAGCUUAAUUGCAAUAAUUAAACAGGAAAAAGUAUGAAUAAUUUUGGAGAUUGGUUAAGAAGACAAUCGGAAAUAGAAAGAUACCUAAUAUAAAGUUUUAUUUAUGAAACAGAGAGACCCAUUUGAAAUAAUUUGGAAAUAACUUGUUUUCUUUUUUGCAAUUUUUCACUAAUGUAUGUAAAUCUCCGGGGUUAAUUUUUAAACCUCAUCAAUUUGUAAUUAGAGAGUGGUAAUUAAGUAAAGUUCUUAAAUAGAUAGAAACAAUUCAAACCUUUAUAGAACAUAUUUUACUUCCUUUGUAAUCAAUCAAUGAUAGUGUUAAAUUCGACAAAAAAGAGAAAAAUAUAUUGGAACACCACAGAAAAGAAGAAAAAGUACAGGCCAUAUAAUUAAUUAAGAAGGAGAAAUAGUAAGUUAUAAGCAUUAAAGUACCAAAAACCAACUUUAGAUAAAGUCAAAUAGCCAUCACCAAAUUCUUCAUCACUAUUAGUUGAUUUUAGUUUCUAAAAAGUAACUAAUUACUCAGUUGACUAAUUAACUCAACUAAAAUUAAUUAAUACAGCAUUCACUCUAUUCUUUUAAUGGUUAAGUUUAAUUUGUAUAACUUGGAUUUUCUAUUAUAUUUAAUUAUUUAUUACCAUGAUUAGUCUGUCACUGUACCAGUUUAAAUUAAAUAUAUUGCAAAUUUUUAGCAUAUUAAAACUCGUUGAUUUUGUAAAUUGAGUUCUCAAGCAUAUAUAAAUGCAUAUAUAUGGUUAUUAUUAUUUAAACAUAGUAUUAGACAUUUAUCACUGUUUCGAUAUGUUAACAUAGUCUCAAAUAGUUCGGAGUUGAGAUUAAUGUCAGUUUAUAUAUUUUUUCUUCCUCCAAUCCACCGAGACGUAUUUUAAGAACAAAAUCGUGAUGAAGUAUCAACUUCCAAAACGGACAAUACCUCAAAUAACACUCAACUGAGCAGACAAUACCUCAAAUGCCCUCAACUGAACAAACAAUACCUCAAAUGCACUGAUUGACCUAGCGAUAGUAUCUUUCGAACUUGAGUGUAGAACCACAACAAAAUUAGUUAGUUUGAAGAAGUGAUAUAGUUUUAUUUUGGAUACCUGAAAGUGAAAGCAACACCAGAGAUUAUGAAGAGCUGAAUUUGAUAGGUUCCACUAAGUGAAUGCAUUCAUAGAGAUAGAUGUGUUUUUGCCUAUAAAAUAAAAGGGGAGGUGUGUGCGCCAUGGCAUUCAUGCAUAAGCUUGUGUUUGUGUUGAUAUAGUAUCUGAAACUGACGUCUAAUUCCACCUCUGCAAGUAGAAAAUUCUCUUUCAACAAUUCCACCUACAAACAGAAAUUCCUUAGCCUCCACUAACCAAAGCAUCGAUUCUUCGAACCUUCUUGUCUACGAGGGUAGAGGGGAUGAAAAAAUUACUCUAUUUUUAAUUCUUUGAUACACACAAAAUUAAAACUGGAAGAAGACAAAAAGAGAAUGAAGUCUAUUCAUCUCACUUUUUUUCUUCAAAUUUACUGGAUUUAAAGUAAUUAAACGUUCUAUAUCGGUGAAUUUUGUUAACAAGCGUCCAAAUUAGACUUGAACUCUAAAUGUCUUGUGCGUGUUCUUUCUACUCUCAUUUUUGUUAUGAACCUUGGUUAUUUCCCACCACUUUCUCUUGUAGUGUUGUUUUUUUGACAAUGAUGGUUGCAUGUUGUUUCACCAUUAAUUUUUUUCCUUUAGAUAAUGUACAUACCUUGGUUGGGUAUUAAUGCUUUUCCCAAUGGAAGAAGGCCAUGGAUCCGAGUACAAGCUAUUUGGGAGUAAGUGUCUUAACCUAUAACCUAAUCUAUAUACUUCUUUAACUUUUGGUUUGGUUGAAUGGACCACGCUAUGAACUUUUUUUUGUUACAAAUACUUUCUUUUGAAUCAUAUCUUUUCUACUUGAUUUUCUUUUUCAAGAAAUUUCCUCGAUCUUUUGAAUAUAUGUUUCGGUAUCUAAUUUAGUCAAUAUAAUAAAAAUAUAUAUAUUUUGAAAUUAGUUAAAAUUUAUUAAUAUUUUAAAAAUAAGAGUAAUAUGAAAGUUAAGUUACAAUUAUUUUGCUUUCUCACCCCGUAUUUCUAACUGUAUAGAAGUUAUGAAUGUAAUAGGAUGUUGUGUUCUGAUAAUAGUGCUUAACCCAUAUAAAAUUAGUGGUUUUUUUUUACUCUUUAAAUAAAUUAUCACCACAAAUAAUAUAGAAAAGUAUUUUUUUUAUUAAAUUGUGCUGAAACAGACACCUAUCCUUACAUAACACACCUACCAGCCCAAUUUGACAGCCAAUGAAACACACUAUGACAGAACUACACUUUGAUAGAGCAAUUGAAAUAGGUAGAAUGACUUGUAAUACAUUUACAAUAUAGUUGUAACAUUAUAAAAAAAGUGCAUUAUCUUCUUUACUCAUUAUAAAAAAGUGCAUUGCCUUCUUUUUUUCAAAAUGCAAAGGUGUCUAGAAUGGGAAUAUUUGCACAAUUUUAUUGAAUAAUGUUAUGUUAAAUGCUUCUUCUUUGGAUAUGCAAACUGAAUUAUGCUUGAAUUGUGAAAUGUAAAUAUGUAUUUAAGUGUCAUUCAUAAAUAUUUUUAGGAGUUUUUAUGUAAGUGAAUCAUUUAAAUGUGAUAAAAAUAAACGAAUCAUAUUUGUUAUUAAAUGGGAUGAUGGAUGGAGUUUAUUAUUUUUAUUUCCUUGUGUUACCUAUUUUAUUUUAUUUUAUUUAUUAUGCUGUGUCAUUUGGGUUAGGAUGAUCUUAUUAUGAUCCAGAAGGUUCUCUUAAUACCCAGUCCUGUAAACAUCAUUUUAAUGUGUUUAGUCACCAUCAAUUUUGCUAUCAAAUACAUUUUCAGAUUAAUUUUAACAUUAUGUUUCGAAAGUGAGUUAUUUCAAAAUUAAAAUUUAUUAAAAUAAAUUGUAGAUCUUUCUCCAAGUUUUCUAUUGACUUGCAGCUCAAACAAAUAAUAUAAGUACAAUUCUAGAUAUAUGAAAAACUUUUAUGAUAUUCACAUCAAAUUUGACUUUAUAUCUCUUCUUAAUCAAAUGAUGAUUGAUAUUAAGUAAUUUAUAUUUUUAAUAUUAUUAUUAUAAGGUUAUAAAGUGAACUUUAAGUUUAAUUCAAUCGUAAUUUAUAUGUUGAAGUUUACACUCAUUUAUAUAUUAUAAAAUAUUUUUAUUUUCAGUCGAUAUGAGAUAUUAAUACUCUUCACAUCAAGAUUUUCUAUAUAUUUAUGCAUUAUGUGAUAUGACCUAAUAAUAAAUUCAAUAAUUCUCUCUAUGCUAAAAUCUAGUUGAUUUUAAUAUUAACUUAAAACUAACUCAAUUUUACAAAAAUACUCAUAAAUUAUAACAUCAAAUAUUAUUAUCUGACAAAAUUGUUUUAAAACACACUCUGGAUGCUUCUAAAAAGAGAAUGGACAACUAAUGUUGACAUCAACAAGAAUCUUAAACAAUAUUUUGAUAUGAAAAUCAAAAGAACAAUAUAAAUCAAAUCAAAAUUGAAGUCUCUCCUAACUAUAAGGAAAGCAGCUGAAAAGGUGAAUGUACUAACAAAAUGGAUGCAUGAAUGAAUGAUAUUUGUGCUUAUUCCCUUAAAUUAUUGCAUCCGAUUAUGAAGGAUUAGUAUGAAUAAUAAGAUAAUUUUAUUGUAAAAGAGGAAAAAUAGAGGAUGAUUACAUAGGUUAGUGAGAAAGAUGUGAAAAUGCAGAAUCUAUCUAUUAGGCACAUUGGGUGUCCCAUCUAAUUUAUUUGAUUUUGAUUUUGAUUUGGCUUUAUUAGGUAUUCUUUAUCCAAACAAAUAAAACCUAACUCUGUUAUUAGGUAUUCUCAUAUACACACACUCACAUUCUCAUUCCCAUCAACAAAAAUAGAUGCGUUAAUUCUUAAUUCUAUGCAUAAAAUCUAAAAGUGGGUUAAGAGUAUAUUCCAAAAUAAAUUACUAUUUUCGUUACAAUUCAUUAUAAAAACUAGUCAGUUUUUUUUUACAAAGACAUAUUUCAACGUUCAAUUGUAGAUGUUGCAAAAUUCAUUCAAUUGUUUAAAUACUUAUAUAGUGAAAAAUGAAUUUUAUAUAUUAAAUAAAAAUAUUCCUUUAUAUAUUAUAUACAACAAGUAAUGGUAAAAAAAUCUUGAUACUAUCAAUGCAUAAUAAUUAGAGAGUUUAGUUUUCUGUAAAUGAAAACAUCUGUCUUCUAUCAAUCUAUAGAAAAUCAAUCUGCCUAAGAAAUAAAAUAAUUAUCAUAAUAAUUAAUAAAAUUAUUGUUAUCGUUAGAUAUUUGUUAGGUUGCAUGUUUUGUCAUUAUAUAACAACAUUCAAAAAUUUAUCCAGUUAUUAUAUUUUAUAUAAUUUCUUAUAAUACUAUAAAAAAAUUAUUAAAUAAUAUAGUGAUUAAAUUAGAGAACAUUUUAUAGAUUAAAAAAAUUAUUAAUUUUUUUAUUAAUAAAUAAUUUCUAAAUUUGUAUUAAUUAGUUAAAAAAAAAUUNNNNNNNNNNNNNNNNNNNNNNNNNNNNNNNNNNNNNNNNNNNNNNNNNNNNNNNNNNNNNNNNNNNNNNNNNNNNNNNNNNNNNNNNNNNNNNNNNNNNUAUUAUAUAUAUAUAUAUAUAUAUUUUUGAGGAUUAUUUUUUUUUUGCCUUACAAUUAGAUGCAUAGCAUAUGAAUGCUUUUUUUUCUGUCUUUAUAUUCAGAGUGCCUUUAUUUUUAGCCUGAGAGCUUAUUAAUUAAUUUAUUAUAUUAAAAGUAUUGGGUAAAUUAAUGUUAAAUUACUAAUUGAUAGAUGUAAAAUAAAUAAUAUAAAAGUUAUGUGUUAAUUAAAUGUAAUUUUUCUUUAUUUUUAGAAAUUUUAAAUUUUUAUUUUUUAGUUUAAAGUUUUGCUUUGUUGAAUUUAUUUUUCAUAAUUUUUAUUAUGUUUAAUUUUCAAACACAAUCGCGUAUGAAAGAUUAAUUAUUUUAAUUUAUAAUGUUAAUUUUUUAAAAUUUAAAAUACAUAAAAAUAUUUAAAAUAAUAUAACAAAUAUUAAAAUAAUACAAUGAUUGUUUCUAUAAAAUUAAAAUCCAUAGCAAUAGGCAAAAAUAAAAUAUUAAUAAAAGGAAAAAAAUACGAGUAAUUAAUUUAAAUGAAUUUAAAAAGUUGAUGAGAACAAAAAUUAAAACUGUAUCAUUAAAAAAUAGAAAAUGUGUAUCCAUUUUCAGAAUUGAUAAAUUAAAAAUUAUUAUUCUUAAGAUAACAUGCUUUAAUUUAAUACAAGUAAUUUAUCUCUAGAAUACUGGUGUAAGAAUAUAUUGAGUUUUACUUUAAUUUAGAGAUAAAAUAAGUUAAAAAGUAUUAUACUAACCCAAUAACGAUAUGGUGACAGACAAAUAAAAGGGAGAUAAUGUUAGGUGAGAUUGUCGGAGAAAAAUAAUUAAGGAAAAAUUAGUGAUUGCGAUUUAACAUGGACGAAAAAUAAAAAAUAAAAUAAGCAUUCGAGUUACUUUUCUAAUUAUUUAUAAUAUUUUAAAAAAAGGCACAUUUUAUGUGCUUAAUGCAUGCACACAAAAAUACAAGAGAAAAUAAUUAAUAUUGCGUAACUCAAUCUUAAAAAUGUUUUUAUUUUUUUUAUUGAUGUGGAAUUUUAACAUAUUUUCUAAUAUUAUGUAAGACUAUAUAUUUGUAUCCGAUAGCUAUAUAAUAAUAAAUAUGUUGAUAAAUUCAACAAAUUUUUAUUAAAAUAGAGUUUAUAUGAUUUUGAUUAUGACUUUUAAAUCAUCUCUGACUUUAAAUUUAAUUUAAUUUUGUAAAACUGAAUUAUAAAAUAAUAUUUAUAAUUAUUUAUAUAUUAUAAUAAAAUAUUAUUAAAAGAUAAAAGAAGACAAAAUGAAAUUGAAUUUUUAUCUAAGCAUAUAUUAUUUGAAGUUUGAAGUUCCGUAGUCCUUGAGAAAAGUUAACGUAGUAGUAACAACACAACAAAGCAUAUAUAAGAAUGUAAGAAUAUAAUCUAACCCUUUAUUUGUCAGAAUAAAAUAGAAAAUUAUAGGCACCACCAAGAUUAAUUAUAAUUUCAUUACUUAAUAAUUGUGGCAGAUUUUAUUCCAUUAUAUUUAAUCAUUUUACAUAUUUUAUUCUCCAUUUUUGUGUACAGCGACUGCCCCUUCGAAUAUUCUUCCAUGAAUUUCACUCUUUUUUUUUCUUUGACUUUGUGCUAAGUAAAUAAUUAACAUGACCCCAUAAUUAACUCUUCUUAAGAAGUAUUCAAUUAAUUAAAAAGAGAGAAUAGUAGUCAAAACCAAAAAUAUGAAUGUGAUUCAAUCUUGAAGGUGUGAUUUAAUUGUGUUUCUUUCUUAGUUUGUGUUUAUUUAUUGUUAUGACUAAUGAUUUGUGGAUGUUUCGUAAUAAAUAAAAUAUUUGUCUUAAUUAUUAUGAAUAAAUUAGGUUUAUGAUUUCUUAUAUUUUUUGUAAAGAGGAUGUGUGUGCUGAUAAGUUUGAUAAUUUAUAAUUUAUUUUUUUCAUGUGAUGACAAAUGAUUGAUGUUACUUGAUAUGUAAAGUUACUUAAUAUGUCAAACUAACUGAAAUAUCAAGUUGAAUAAUGAUGUUUAACAUGAAAUUUUUUAUAAAAGAAGAAGAAGAAGCAAUAAAUACAAAUUUUAGGAGAUGAAAUGUGAUUUGGAUACAUGACAUGAUUAUACCAUAAGAAGAUAAAAGGAAGAAAAAAAUUAAAAUAUUUAUUGCAUCACAUAUAUAUAAAUAUUUUUCUUUCUUUUUAUCAAAAGUUUUAGAUUUUGUUAACACUAGGAUUUAAGAUUGGUAUUAACAAAACUAUUUCUCUUAUAAUGUAUUCAAAAUCGUCCAGGAUUUGCCGCCACAGUGUAAUUUAACGGCCAAAAAAACAUUAAUAAUUUGUGAUAAGAUCGUAAUGUUUUAUAAUAUCUAUACAAUUUUUUUCUUGAAAAAGUCUUAAUUUUAAUUCACGUUUUAAUCCUAGCUUUAUUGUAAUUGUAAAAUGAAAAACAUAGCAAUAUUAAAUAAGUUUUUUAAGCCCAACUAGCUUCGUAAUGUACAAUUUUUUAAAUAAUACCCAACAUUUGGGAGAAAAAAAAUGACGAACUGAGUUUCAUUAAUUAAUUAGUAAUAUUUAUAAGUAUCCUCAUUGAUGAUUAAUAUUAAUAUUGUACUCUAUGUAUGUACGUAUUUUAUUUUGUAUAAAACAAGUUGGAAGUGUAAUUCAUCUUUUUCAUUAAUCAAUGGCAUCGUGGUCUAACAUGUUCACCACUCCUUGGUUCAAUACUAUAAUAUAUGUCAAUUGUUUUCUUCAUGCAAUGUUUUUGAACUUGUACCAUGUUUUAUGUAAAAUGAUAAUUUUUGUUUUGUUUUUUAAAUAAGAGAAAUGUACAAAUCAAAAUACAUUAUGUAUUUUAUAUUUCUAAAUACAUUAAUGGUUUUAGAUUCUGGAAUCCCUCUUUCAAAAUAUAUUUUUAUAAUUCCUUUUUUGAAAUAUAUUUUUAUAAUUCCUUUUUUGAAAUAUAUUUUUAUAAUUCCUUUUUUGAAAUAUAUAUAUACGUCUCCAAAUGAAAUGUAUUUUUUUAUUUUAAUAUUUUUUUUUUAGAAUGAGAUUCUGGUUUUCUAAUUAUAUUUCAUAAUAAAUGGAUUUUAUUUUCCAGAAUAUACUUUUAAUUCUGAAAUGAAGAGAAAAAUUUUAAAAUUUAAAAGUUAAUUGAGUGCAAGUAAAAAUCAUUGGGUACAAUAAGUAAUUGAAUUAAUCCAUCUCAAAACAUUUCGAGGUGUCCAAAUACGAAAGUAUAAACAGAAUUCAAUAGGAUGAGGAGGCCUAAUAAAAUAUUUGUUACAUCAUGAAUACUAUUUGAUAGAGCAAUGAUGCCAACCCUUUUGAGGCAAAAAUCUUGAGUAGAGAGAAUUGCUUCAGAUCUCAUCUAACUUGUCUCUCUAUUCUUCUUAAGAUAACUUAGUAAAUUUUUCAACUCAGAAGACAUUUUCUACCUUAAAUUUAAGAUAUUAUUUCCUUAAAAAAAAGGGUAAAAUAAAAGAGAUCUUUCCCUCAAUUGCUUAUUAGGUAAACAGUGCAAACACAGUAAUUAUUGGUUAAAAUGAUAAAAGCUAAAGUCUUAGCUGCCUUUUGAAUUUUAAUUUAGCAGCCAAUCCAUUUUAUAUUUUUUAAAUCAUCCAUUACAAAGCUAAAGAAAGUAGAGAAGUGUGCCCGAAUUUGUUUCUUCAAAUACAAUUGAUCCAAGACAAGUGUAUUCCGGAGUCAAAAUUGUUAUGAUAGACUAGUUUUUUUUCUUAAAAUUUUAUAUUUCUGUGAUUUAUUUUGAGUUUAAUUUUGAUAUAUGUAAAUAUUUUAGAGCAUCCACCUAUAAAAUUUACUCUAAAUAGGUAUAUUAAUUUAUUUAUUUUUAUGAAAACCAAUGUAUUUCAUUCAUAUAGCAAUUUAGGAUUUUGCGGAAAAUUUUAUAGUACGGGGUAUAUUUUAUUUUAAAUCUUGAUAUUGGUAUGCAUCAUUCAUAAUCAAAUACAAUCACUAAUCCGUUGGGCUCCUUGAUAGUAUAGAACUCCAACAUACCUUAAAUUUGUCUUUCAAAUUUUCAGUGAAUUAAUUGUAAAAGUUAAACUGCCUACAAUAUAUCGACAUGUAAGGGAUGGAAAAAUUAUUAACGUGAUAAUGUAAUAAAUAAGUAUAAUCUAAGACAGAUUUUGAUGGAAGAAAAUAAUUUUAUUUUAAAAUAAUUUGUUUAACUCAAAUAGUUAGAGGGGAAAAAAAGGAUUUGAACUUCUUAUCUCUCGUGUUUUUGUUCUUCAACAUUAUAAGAAACUGAGUUUGAAAAACUUUUGAUAUGAUUAGACUGAAUUAUCCUUGAGUAAAACAUCUUUUUAUCUUUCCCUCCCUACAUCUGUGAACAGUGCAUGGUAUCUUUUUUUUCCUUGCUCAGGAGAGAAAUAAAUGUUUGGUGGAUGUUAAAUAAAGCAGUCAAAGUAAAAAAAGAAUCAAAUUAAAUAGAGAAAGGAAAAAUACCUUCCUCUUUCGAUCAUUUUUAUUGACACUUGACUUUUCUUGGCAAACUGAUACUGUUCAUAGGAUCCCCAUACAUCCAAACUCAACCAAAAAAAAGUGUAAUGACGCAACAAGAAUCUAAAGAACCAGAUCCAAAUCACGGUUCAUUUAAGUGGUCUUUCACAUGUUGAUGUAGUUCAUAAUCACCAUAAAUAUAGCACGAGAAUUUCGCCAUGCCCAUACUCCUAGAUCAGGCACCGACAUUGGCGUAACUCGGAAACAAAGAAGAAAGAGAAACAAUUUUUCUAGUCCGCUUGCACAAAAAGAUAAAUAAAACACAAUGGCAUAAAAAAAUAUUCACUCGAAUAAAAAUUUGCUUUCAACAUUUUCCGGAAACGGAUGGAAUUUGGUGGUACAACUAAAAAGAUCACAACACAAUUGAUAGAGCAAUUAACCAAAAGAAACAAAUGCAUGAACAAAUAUCAAGAAAGGGGAAGCUCCCUCCCAAAUUACAUAUUCAACCCUAUACAAGAUAUCCUAUGUUACAGAAUGUGCAUUCAAUAUAUAUAAUAUUUGAGUAAAAAUAUGGUUAAAUUCUAAACCCCAAACCAGGCCACCUCUUUGUUCCCUCCUUCUUGGUCCUCUUUGAACCAGGAUCAAUAAGGUUUUCCAGAGAUUUUGCUUUUCUGUCCCGUGUCUUGCCUGCUUCUUUCAGAAGCUCAGCCAGACGACGCUUCUCAUCUUCAAAAUCAGGAUUUGCUAUUCCAAGCUUUUCCUCCCUCAACUUCAGGACAUAUUCUAAGAUCUCAAUCGCAUCUCCCACUCUGAACAAUGCAAUGAAAAUAGAAUCUUACUUUAAACAUAGAAGUGUUACAGCAUUGUACAACAUAAAUAGACAUUUGAUUAGGUUAUAUACAGGAAGGCCUUGAUUAGUUUAUAUACAGGAAGGAGCUGGAAAAUACAUAUUGGGUUAGACAAACUAUAAGAUCAAUGCUCUGGGGUGGCCAACCAUCCAGUAGCAUAGGUUAUGGUGGAGGAUUUAUAGUAAAAUUAAAUUCAAUACAGCUUUCAAUCAUGCAGUCCAACAUAUAACCACGGUAAUAACUAUACUAAGGUGGUCACUGUUAAUCUUUAAGUAGAAUCUUCUAUUUUAUGGCUGCUUCGUAAGAAACAAAUACUAUGAAUGGAAUCAGGGUACAAAGCAAAAUAGGUACUAAAUACGAGCCAAAAGUAAACAAGGAUGAUGAGAAAAGAAUUUUACCUUCCCAUAGCAUCAUAUGUAGCUGCAAGAUUGCUGUACACUCCAAGAGUAUCUUGAUGACAGGGGCCACACUCCUGUUCAAGAAUUCCCCUAGCUUCUUCAAACAAUUCAGCAGCCUCAUCUAUCUUGAACAGUUGAACACACGCCAACCCCAUCUGGUUCAGAACAACUCCAAAGAAGGCACUCUUCCGCUCCCCACUGGCCCUGAGUUUAGCAACAGCACUCUCAAAUGAGUUCCUUGAGUCUUCAUACCUGCCAAUCAUGUAAUACAUCACUCCCAUACGUGCCUCAAUCCCUGCAAUAGUGCUCUGCUGCCCUGGCUUAUCAUCCAACAACUUCAUCGCCCGGCUUAACAGCUUCAGUGCCUCCUCUGGCUCAUCCACAGAUUCAAAAACUGCCGAAACCUCUGUCAAGCCACCAGCAAUCUCCUCUGCAGUGGUACCUGGCACCGGCUUUGAGUAAAUCCUGAGUGCAUUCUCACAGUACGAUUUCGACUCACGAAGCUUCCCAGUCCGGUGGUACAAAUCAGCCAGACGCACAAAAACAGACGCAACAGAAGGGUGGUUCUCACCCUUGGCAGACUUAAACACAGUAAGUGCCUUCUGAUACGAGAAAAUGGCCUCAUCAAAACGACAAAGUGACAUGUAAAUGUUCCCAAUGCUAACAUCAAUCGACGCAACCUCACUAUCCUGACCAUUUGCAAUCAUAGCCAUGCUAGCAAGCACAAGAUGCUCCAAUGCCGAUUCAUAAUCUCCCUUCGCCUCGCAAAUCAGAGCCAUAAGCCUCCUAUCGGCAGCUUCCUCAAGUGAAGCCGGUUCACUAUGCACGCGAUGAAUCUCCAGAGUUCUCUUACACAGCUCAUCCGCUUUGUCAAACUGCAUCGCUUGCACAUUCGCCUCCGCCAAGUAUCUACCACGCACAACACCAACUCAAAAAAGAGUGGUUUUAUUCACACAACAAUUUAACAACACGACUUGUUUUUUCUCUACCUUCCUUCUUAACCUUAUUAAUUCCACACAUACGUUUCUCUCUUUCUUGUUCAAAACCACCAAUAAAACUUCUCAUUCAAAAACACAAUUAUCCAACUACAAUCAAGAAAAAAUAUAGACCCUAGUUUUAUAGAUGUUCUUAUUUUUAUCAUUAAACAGAAAUAGAAUUUCGCUUCAGAAAUCUGAAUAUCAUUUUCAUAAUUUUUCACUAUCAGGAUUAUAAUUUCGCCUCAUUAAUUCGCAUAGACAGUUAAUGAAUUGUUUUAUUAUUAAGAAAAACACCGAGACGAAUCUCCAAUAAUUCUGAAUCCCUGCAUCUAGGUAUUGCAUCAAACAACGAUAGAUCGAUACCGUACCGGCAAGUUUCACCGACGCGGGGAUCAGUUUCGCCCAGGGCUUGGAUCUGGAUCUGGAGCCCCUGGUCGUAGCAGGAGAUGGAUCGGUCGACCUGGCCGAGCAUGGAGAAGGUGUCGCCGAGCUGCAUAUACCCGGAGAAGGCAGCCAGGGCGUGAUCAGCGCCGCGCGCGACGUCGGGGACCUGUAUGGCGCGUUCGAGGACAGGAACGGCUUCCUCGAAGCGGGCGAGGCUGCAGUAGAUGGCAGCGAGGACAUGGAGGCUCAUUGCGAGGUCGAGGCUGGGCUCGCCCUCGACGGCGCAGCGCUCGAAGGACUUGGAGGCCCGCACCGCGAAGUCGAGGGCCUUGGCGGGCCCGUCACCGGAGGCGAUGGUGUCGCGUGCCAGUUUAAGUAGGAAUGGGCCGAGAUCGGGGUUGUCGAGAGAGGCAUCGGAGAGAAUCGGAUUGGUAGGGGUUUCGGGAGUUUUCUUCUUGGAGGAACGAGAAGGUGAUGGAGAUGGUGGUUUUUUGGGAAGUGGAGACGGCGUUUUGUUGUUAGCGUUGUUCGCUUCGGAUCUCUGCGUCGGAGUGUUUGGUACGGAUAUUCGGAGCGGUUGAGCUUCCGGUGGGGUUUUAACGGAAACAAGACCCGGCAUGGUGGUGGAAUUAGGAUUCAGAGAGAGAGAGAAAGAGAGAGAGAAAGAGAGAGAGAGAAUUGUUGAGUGUUUGGGUGGUGCGAGUGUGAAAUUUGUAUGGAUUGGGCGAAGGAUAAGAACUUGGCACCACUCUCAACAAGAAUUGGGGAGAAGAAGCGUUGUUUGGGGUUGUGCAGAUCAAAUGUCUCUUCUAUCUUCUGUUUUUCAAACUGUGUCUGUGUGUGAGCUGUGACAGAGGUUUCAUUCUUUUCACUUUCACUUCUUUCUUCUUCUUCUUCUCCGUCUUUCUCACGGGUCACUUUGGUAAUUCCAUAACUCACCCUUCACCCAACGCACAUCUUCUCAGAUUAUUAAUUGUUAAUUAUUAAUAUUAAUUACAGUAAUCAAUUGCUCACCACCGCAUAUUAAAUUAUAUUACUUCAAAACUCUUUUGGAACGGGUCUAAAACAAGGUUACUUUUCUUUUCUUUUACUUAAAUAAUUUUUUUCUUAUUUUUCUUGUUGAUUUACUCUUCAUCUUAGUGAACUUUGAAUUUAAAUGGUAUCGGUAAAAAUACUCUAAAGUUUAAGUAUGAUUUUGGUACUCGACACUAGGUAUAAUUAGUAUUAGAUGAUGACAUGUCUAAUUCUUGAAAUUUAUGUCUAUUUAUAUGAUUAUCAUAGACUUUUAAUUAUUUGACCGGAUUAAGAAUUUGAAUCGUGAUUAAAAGUGUAUUUUAUAUUUAGACGUGAUGAUUUUAAUCAUAUCAAUCGAUAUUAACUAGAUACUUGAACCUCCGGUGUCAUACAGAUCCUAACCGGUAAAAAAACAAAUUAAACUUUUAAAUUAAUAAUUUCUUUUAAAAUGUAUAUGGUGUGGAGGGUUGAGUAAAGUACUAUGGAUGUUAAUUUUUUUUUGUAAACAACUUAUUAUAUCCCUUGCUUAAUUUGAUUCUAUAACUAAUUUUUAAUUAAAAAAUUAGAAAACAUUAUGUCUAACUAAAAUUUAUAUUAGAAUUUACUCUAAAUACUGGUUUAAUAUUUGGUCCCACGUAAACGUUAUUAUUCUGCAUCCGUAUUAUUGGUCAAACAGAAAAUUUUCAUUUAUUUUUUCCUUUUUUUGUCUUUCCUCUCAUUUUCACAUUUUCUAAAUAUGGUCCUGAAAAUUAUUAUUCCUAAAAGUGUAACUGUACACAUAUCAGUUAUGUCAAAUAUUAAAUACGAUGGUUUAUUUGGUCGUAAAAACAACCGCGAUGAAAAAGAAAUACAAGUGGGGGAAAUUUGAGAGUAUGGGCACGAAAUUUUUAACUUUUUUUAGUUAUUUUUAGUACUGAAUAAUUUUAUGUACCAUAAAAGAUAAAAAUAAUAAUAGAAUUCUGGUGUUUUGGUUGAAUUAACUAUUGAAGUCUUACUAAAUACAUAUAGCAUAUUUUUUUUCCUUUAUAUUUUUUUCUAAGCUUUAUCAAUUAUUAAGGGAUAUGUAGCCUAAUAUAAUUGAUAAAUAACUUUAUUAUUAAGUAUGUAAUUUAUCAAUUUUUCGAUCUCAGGUUUGUAUAGAUGAAAAAAAUACAGAUACUACGAUAUUUUUUUUGUAAAUAUUAUUUAUAUAUAUAACUUACAGAUAUACAUCCGUAAAAAAUCUUAAAAUUAUUCAACAUUUAUUUUUGUCUAUUUAAAUUAUAAAUGAUGAAAUAAUUCAUUCAUUCUUCAUUUAUUUAGUAAUAUAAAGCUAAAGUCAUUUAUGACAAAAAUAUAUAAGGAAUGAAUUUAAUUCGCCUAUUUCAUACCACUACUUUUUAUAAUUUAAUCUCUUAAAUGUACUUUUUCAAAAAGUAUUUUAAUUUAAAACUUUUUAAAAAUAUUUUUUAAAAUAUACUUUUUAACAAUAUAUUAUUUUGUGGAUGAAUGUUCAAUCAUGAAAAAAAAAAGGCUAAUGGGUGGAUUCAAUGAAAAUUUUAUUGAAAAAAAUCAAUUUUUUAUAAUGAAUCAAUUUUUUCAAUAACUAUUUCUCAUUUAAUUAUUUAUAAAUUAAAAUAAAAAUGAUCUGAUUUAUUUGGUUUGUCUCCCGUAAUUUAGAUGGUACAUGUUUGAUGAUGGAAUAGUAAAUUUUCUGUUUUUCACUCAACAAUUUGUAGUAUUCAUAAAGUAAAAACAAAAACCAACCUUUGUAGCAGUGCAAUAAUAGAAUUUGCAGUGUGCCAUAGAUGUUCUGACAAUUUACAUGAUGAAGUAGGUGAAACUAUUAUUUGACCUAUUUAUUUCUUCCUCUACCUUGUGAAGAAAUGUAGGAGAAGUCAUAAUUUGAAUAAUGAGUAAAUAUAUAAAGGAAACAAAAAAGGAGAUAAUAAUGUGAAGUUAAUUAUUGUUAAUUAAAAUAUAAUAUUAAUAUUAAUAAAUAAAGAUUUAUACUUUUUUGUUAUAUUUUUUGUCACCCUUUCCUUGUAUCUAUGUCUUGUUCUGAAUGUUGUGGGAAGCAUUUCCAAUGGAGGAGAAUAAUGAUAAGGAGCAUUUGGAAAACUGAUAAAGAUAUUAUUCCCAAAGUCAACUGAAGAAGAUUAAUGAUUGGUUAGCAUGAUUUUAGUUUCUAUCAUGGAUGCUGCCACUGUGUGCCUCCUCCACCUGUUAAUAUAAAGCUAAACCCAGGGUGGUUAAUUAUCUGCAUAUUAUUUGUGGUAGUUAGAGAUUGGAUUUUGUGUAGGAACUUUUACAAAAAGAUGGAGCAUUUUUUCUUUUUUUUCUCUUAAUUAAAAUAUGGUUGUUAUGUAAGAAAGAAGUUGUGUAUGGAAAAAAAAAUUGCAUUAAGAUAACAUGAAAUUAAUUAUAAUAUAUGAACUUCAGUGUCUUUGUUAAUACAUUUAUAGCCUAAUUGACACUCAUAUGACAUUCAUAAGAAUGUAUUGAUUAAAUGUUUAAUUAUAUUUCUGACAAUUUUAGCACGAUUCUAAUAUUAUUUUAAAAAUAAAAAAAUAGAUUAUUUUUUAAAAACUUAAAUUUAUUAUAUAAAUUUUUAGUAUGAUUAUAAAAAUAAGGAACAAAUUUUUUUAACUAACCAUAAAAAAAAUUUAGAAAAAAACACUAAAACAUAUAUAAUUAUAUAGUAUAUAGAUCUGUGUCCCAUAUAUUUUAGAGAUUAUAUGUAUUUUUGUGUUUGUAUUUAUAUCGUAUUAGUGUUAAUGUUUGUGUAUGUACUGCAUAUAUUAUAAUAAAUUUUGUUUAAUAUAUUAAAAAUAAUAAAUUUUGUUUAAUAUAUUAAAAAAUUGUGUUUUUUCAUAUGAUAAGUAAUUUUAUUUUGAUAAAAAAAUAGUAUUUUUUUUCUUAAAGAAAAUAAAGUAAAUUAUAUCUGUACAAUUAACUUUUUUAAAUUGAUUAUACUAAAAUUGUAUCACCUUCAAAUAUAUUAAAAAUAUCAUAUCACAUUAAUAUAACUUUUUCUAUUCAUAAUUUAAAAAAAAAUGUUUUGAUAAAAAAAAUCACUCACUUUCUUAAAAAAAAUUAUAUCAAAAUUAUACUAUUUAUUUUUCUAAUCUACAAUUUUUUUUAAAAAAGCAAUUUUAUUUUGAUAAAAGAAAAAUCACCCCACUUUCUAGGAAAAAAAAAUUGUGUUCAAUUUUUCUGUUUUUCUCCCUUCAUAGAGCAAGUAAGAUAUGUGGCAUCUUGAGUUUAUAUAUGGUUAGCACCAUUUCUUAAUUAUUAGUGUGUUUGAUCCUUGCACAGAGUAAUGAACAGUAGAUUAAAAGGCAAAAAAACAUCAACAGUUCUUGCUCAACUAAUAAUAUCUUGCAGAUGAACUCUUUAGGUUGGAGUGUCAAAGUCAAUUAAUUAAAUAUAAUAUCUGUGAGCAUAGCAUAGUAUUGAAGUAGGUGUUGUUAUUGCAAAACAUGCUUACUCUUAUAGUAAAACUCAAUGUCAAUUGAUUAGUGUAACACCAGUAAUCUCAUUAACAAAGAAAAAAAAUGUAAAGAUUGUCAUAAAAUAUAUUGAUAAUGAAAGCAAAAUUGAGAGGUAGGGAACGUUGAGGGUCACAUCAUUGAAACCACUGCACUAGCUAUGAAGUAGACUUCCUAUCUUUGCCCCAAUUCUAUACUCAUCAUCAUUGCAUUUUUCAAGAAGAGGCAAGUACAAGAUUAAUUAUUAGUUAAGUAUUAUCUAUCUACUAAUCUUUUCCAUCUUAUAUAAUGUUUUUAAUACACUUAAUCCAAGAUAAACUAAUGUUUUAGUGUUUAUAAUUAUAUAUCUCUUAUCCGGUUUAGCGGAUAGAAAGAUAACAACUUUUCGACUAAAAUCACAAUGUAACAAUCUGAUUAAUUGGGAUAAUCUAGUUUUAAUAAUAAAUUGCACCAACGUCAUUAAGAAAAAAAUCUAAUAAAAAAUUAUAAAUAAGACAAAAGUUUUAUAAUAAAAAAUAAUAACUUUUCAAUUUUUAAACGCAUAAACAUCUCAGCAUUCCAGUUGAAUUGAGUGUUUUAAGUAUCUUUACAAGUAUCUCACUCUUCGAACUCAACAGACAGAUAACAGAAGACCUAAUAGAAAAUUAUAAAUAAGAUAGAAGUUUUAUGAUAAAAAAUAAUAACUUUUCAAUUUUUAAAUGCACAAACAUCUCAGCAUGCCAGUUGAAUUGAGCGUUUUAAGUAUCUUUAUAGGUAUCUCAUCCGAACUCGACAAACAAAUAACAGAAAAAGAUAUGACAUUUCUAACAUUGUGAGAAAAAUAUAUAUAUAAAAAAAAGUAUCAUUUACAUAUAAUUUACAUAACAAAUAACAAAUUUUCAACCCAACAUAUAGGUAAUUAUUAAGAUUUUACAAAUAAGAGAUAUUAUAUGUUUUCUAUAAUGACUCUCAUCUUUACUAGCCUGUGCUGUGGAAUCACCUUUGAUCCAGUUAAACACUUAUUUAUAAAGAUUAUCAUUACACUUUAUUACUCUUCACCCUCUUAGUUUUUUCUAAGCCUUUGAAUAAAGUAUAGUUAAAUAGCAUUUUUUUCCUCAUUAACAUAUAGAGAACAAGAGUUGGGAGAGAGAAAUUAUCAAUAAUAAAGAAAAAACCAAUGAUUUGAAGUAGUAUGCAAUUAUUUUAAAGAUCCCAUUAAUAAUUCAUGUUUAUCUUUAUUUCGUUUUUAUAUAUCAUAUCUACAUUUUGCUUUUCUUUUUAUCUCUUUUUCACUAUUUGAAGUUUUCAAAUCAAUAUUGUAUUUUUUAUUGUCUUUGGAAUUAACUAUUAGUCUCAUUCACUCUACGCACCUCACCAUCUCUUACAUAUCACACUGGAUCUAAAAGACGAGACGAACAUUAUAAUAUUAUUUUUUAAUCUUUGAAAUAUGAGUAAUUUUAUUUGUGAUCUCUCAAAUUAAAACAAAAACUUUUUAGCCUCUUAAAAUUGGAAAAAAAAAUAGUUCCUAAAUAUUAAAUAAACUUGAGGAAUUAAAAUGAGUUUUACAGGAAUUAUAGUUCAAGAUUUGGCGUUUAAAAUAUAAAUUUUAGAAUUUAAACUUUAAGAUUUAGAACAUUAUUCUAAUCUUUAGAGAUUAAAAACAUAAUUAAAUCUUAUUUUUGUUAUCCUGUAUCCAAUAUUUAAUGUAAGAAUUAAUUUAUAUAAAUGAGUCCAAACAAUUAGUAUUAAGUAAAUAAUUUAACCACAUUUUACACAUGUCAUUAAUCAAAACACACUACUACUUACCAAUUAGAGUCUCACCAGAAAACACAGAUUAUGUCUGCUACAUAUAAUAGCAGUGUAAGACGCUGUGAAAACCAAACAAGGUAUAUUCAUCAACAACCAACAAAGAUUAAUUAGACCAGAAAUGAAGAAAGAGCAUAAAGUUUUAGAUACAAAUUGAAACAGUUGCUGGUAUUUAAAGAUAUUAGAAUAUAGAUAUAUUUCAGCACUUGAUUUUAACACAUUACAGAAAUAUAAAACUCAUAUUGCAGAAGGAAAUCUUCUGCUAUAUAUAUAUAUAUUGCUACAUAUAUUUUCUCAUAUUAAUUUCUUCUGCUUUCAGCAAGAAGAAAUGUGAGCUGGCUUGAAUUAUUGGUUCCAUUAAAAUAUAUAUAUAUAUAUAUAUAUAUAUAUAAUUAGUAUUAAAAGCAACUUAGCAUAAGAGGUUAAUUAAGUUCAACCGUGAGGCUUGGUUUUGCCUUGAUCAUUCCGUGGAUUAGCACCAUAUUCUUUGUAGUCGUCAGUGUCAAGGUUCAAAACCUUUCUUCCUUUCAUCUGAAAAGAAACCUUCAACAGAAAAGUGUGUUUAAUUAAUAAUUAAAGUAAUCACAUAUUUCCAAAUACAGUUGUUUCAUGACAGAGACACAUAUUUAUCUGUCUGUCACCAUGCAUAGCCCUUUCUUUUUUAUCUCUCUAAUCACUGUCCUUUUGUGUAACUUAAGCACUAAUUAAAAAAUUAUGAAACCUGUCAUUAUGGAUUAAUCAACCCUUUUACAAAGUACUUAACUGAGACUCUUGUUUUCUAGCCUCAUUACAAUAAUUGAAAAAACUAAAUGCAUACUGUGAAUACUUUACCUUGUUGGUUGGUGAUUUUACUACAUCUGCUCUCAUGGUCAUGCUGUUUACUCUAGCUGCAAAAAAGUUCACAAAAAUGAAUUUGGUUGGUUAUGAUUUAUGAUUUAUUGUGGCAGCAUAUAAUAUAUGUUUGUGCAGAACAUGCUUACCUGGAUACAGUUCAACAAAGAGCAAAAGGAAGAUGAUGAUAAUGGAGAAUCUGAGCUUGGGAUCCAUAAAGUUGGAUGCAGAGUUUGAACUUUGAAUGAUGACAGAAACUGAGAGAUUUUUUUCUGUGAGAAAGUGAGAAAUGAGAAGAGAUGAAUGAAGGGUUUUUCUUUUGAAGGGAGAGGGAGGUUAGAAUGGGAAAAAUGGGGUUGUAAGUUGUAACAAAAGUCAAUAAAAGUAAUCUCAAGAUGCAUGUGGAUUGUGGCCUGUCAUGUGAGCCAUUCAACUGUUACAAUAGACACAACAUAUUGCAUAUUGGCAUGUGGGUAAAGUCAACUUUAUUUACUGUCUCUUAACUUUAUACUUUUAUGGAACUCUUUUUCAUCAAUUUGAUUUUGAACAAUGGUUCAAGAUCCCACAUUUAUAACAAUAUUUUACAAAAUAUAACUAGGUUUGAAACUUGUUUUAUAAAGUUAAAUUAGAUUUAAAGUUUAUUUUUAAUAAAAAUUAUUAUGAUUAUUUAAAUUUAUUUUAACUUCUUUUAGAUCAUGUAAUGUAAAGUGAACCCAAAAAAAUAAUUCUCUUCAUGUCUUGUGUACCAUUUCUGACAUGAUUUUCUGCAUCAACAAUGAAGGUACCAUGGGCAACUUUCACAUCCUUUUCCAAUGUAAGGAUAUACUUGAGUUGUAAAUGCAAGUGGAAACAUUGGUCAGAAAAUCAAUAUAUUCAUAUUAACAUAGAAAAAUAUUUAUUUCACUAUUUAUCCCUAUAAUAGUUUAGUGUUUACUGUUAUAAAAUUAUUAAAUAAAAAUUAAUUUAAAAAAAAUAGUUACUAUAUUAAUUAAAUUAGAUAUUAUUUUAAAGACUACAAAAAUUAUUGGUAUCUAAAAUAUUUUAAGAAGUGAAUUUUAAACUUAAAUCAACCUUAUAGAAGAUGAGAUUUGCAUUCACUUAUAUAUUCACAACUUCUAUCAACUUGUGUGUAGAACUAUGUAAUGAGUGUAUGAUAAAGACUUGAUAAACUCAACAAGUUCUCACUAUGAUAGAUUCUAAAAGACUCUGAUAUUAUAUUAAGAAGUUAACUUUAAGCUUAACUUAACUUUAUAAAUUUGAUUUAUAAGAUGAGAUUUACACCCACUUAUAUACUAUGAAAUGUCAUAAUCUCUAGUCAAAGUGAGAUAUCCAACAAAACUGUUUAUAUUAUUGAUAAAUUGGUAUCUAAUUAGCUUUAGCCAAUUAGAUAAAUAACUUUAUUAGAUUAGCCACUUGAGUAUUUAUUAGUUAGUCAAAAUUACUUUUUAAAGUUUAUUAUUAUAGAAAGAAUUGACUUUGACCUUAAAAUAAAAAGUGUAAACAAACUUAAUAUAUAGUUGUAUUGAGACCUAAUAAAAGUAAUAACAAAGUGAGUCCUACCAAAAGUAACUCCCAAAUUAGCACUUGACAUGUGUGUUGCACUAGGUAGCUCUGCUUGGCUCAUAUUGAACCUUGUAUUGUGUACUCAAUAGGGAUAGAUUAAAAAGCUAUAUUGUCCAAUCUAAAUGUUUGUUACCGAUAAUAAGUAAUCUCAUUCAAGAUUGUCAAAAUACUUAUGGACUGUUAUGAUGUGUUGUUUUCAUGCUAGCUUUUUCCUUUUGAGUUGUGCCAUUAUAAGUUCUUUCCCCCACAAGACUUUCAAUAUUUAGUUACAAGUGCCACAUUUUUUGGCAUUUACAAAGUUGACUUAAAAAUACAAAUAUUUCAUACUAUAUAACUAUUUCAUAUUAUAUAAGAAGUACAUUUUUUACAUUUAUAAAUUGAUUUUAUAAAAUUAAGUUAAACUUAAAUAUAAUUUAUGUUAAGCUAUAUAAAAUCUAUUAUCACAAGAAUUUUAUUUAUUUAUCAAAUCACCCGCUAUCGAACUACCAACUAUAUAACCUCAUAUACAAGUUGACAGUCUCAACAAAUUGAAUUAAACUUAAAAUUUGCUUCUUAAUACUUAAUCAUUCAUACAAGUCUCUCUGAAAAUCAAUAAACCUUUCAAUUAACUCUAAAACUUGGGAUUAACUCUAAAACUUGGGAAUGUGUAACUUUUAUUUUAACUUGUAAUUGUGUAGAAUACUACUUUCUUUAAUUUUAUUUUUUUUAAAAAAAUAGAAUAUUUGAUCAGACUUUUCCAAUCACAAACCAUCAAUUUUACAAACUAAUCAUGCCACAUGAGAAAAAUAAAAGGAAUGAUAAAAUGAACAAGUUUAUUAAUUUGUAGAAAAUCUAUUUCCCACGUUUCAUUGUAGCUAGUUUUUCUAGAGUCAAAAUGAUGAAUGAUUCCAAGGUCCAAAUGAGGUGUCACGCACCAAAUAGUACCCACAGACACUAAACCACAACGGCUAAUAUUGGAAUUGGAGAUAUCAAUAUAUCUAAAUAGACACGUCCAAGAAAAAAAAGAAAGUUGACUAUGGUUGUGACAAUUCCCUCUGUGGCUGAAACCUACCAGAAAUAAUAAUGCUUUUUUCUUUCUUUCAUGCAGAGAUGUGCAAUAUCAUAAGAAAAUGAGGGUGUUUUGGUUUCAAAGGGAACAUGAUUACUGAGUUGAAUUAGGGUUGCUGAAAAUCCAAUACAAUAUUGAUGGACCAACAAUACCCAUGGGAUUUUGAGAACACAUGCAACGCACUCUACUAAGGAUGGUUGAAUAUUUUUUUCUUUUUCUUUUAUAACUCAACUCUAAUGUAAAUCAAUUAUGAUCAAGUUGAAUUGCUAAAUAAAAAAUAAAUCUAAUUAAAUUAAAUUAAAUGUCAUUUAAGUUUAAACUAAAUUAUUAAAUCUUUUAAAUUGAUUUAACCAAUAACCCAAAUUUAGUUUAAGCUUUACUUUGUGUUUUUUCAUAUCCAAUAUGAGUUUGUUAGCCUCGUUAACCAUGUAAAACUAGUGAAUGUGUCUGAGUUUAGUAAAAAUGAAAAAAAAUACCUAAACCCUAAAUCAUAAAUCAUACACAGAUUUUCCAGUUUAAAUGACCCAAAAAAACACUAAAACUGUCACACAUGACCAAUACUUCUAACUAACACAGAAAGAGUAUUUUAAAAAUUAUUAGAGGUGCGGGUAGUAAUUAUAGAAAAAUUAUAAAGGUGCAUGUAAUAAUCAUAGAGGUGCAAGAAGCAAAAGCCUACUUUAAUUUUUUUUUAAAAAAACUUAAUCUCAUUUGGCAAGAAAGUUCAAACAAUAUUUAAUAUUAUUUUUCAAUGAUUAUUUUAUGAAAAUUGUUUAAAAAAUCGUUAUUAUUUAUUAAAUUUUUUCAAUUGAGCAAGCUUGUAAGUAUAGCAAAUUAAAAAAUUUAAUACACCAGUAAACAUUAUUUAGCAACAUAUAUGUAUACGGGAAGGGAAUUGUACCCUCCUUCUGGGGCAAGAGGAAAAAAAGUGAUAAUAUAAAUAAUAAUGUAAACAUAAAUGUGGGUCUUAAAAAAUAAUAUACAAAACUACUACAUUGGAAAAAAAACAACUAUACAGCAACAAAUAAUCAAUAUAAUUGAGACAUAUAAGACCAUAAGCUCACAAAAUGAGACUAUGAAUAUUAUUAAGAGAAUCUCAUAACUAGUUUAGGAUGUAAAAUCUUGUAUUUUUAAAAAUUUAAAAAUUGCAGAUGAUCUUUAGUUUUCUAAAAUAAAGUAUAUUUUAUUCACUAUUGAUAUAUUAUUUAAUUAUUAAUAAAAAUAUUAAAAUAAUAUAUAUAAUGAAACUUAUUGUUAAAUCUUAUUACUAAUGCCUUGCACUAAUUGUGAUUAUUAUUACUUAAAAUACAUUUAACAUCCAUUAACAUUUAUAUAAUUUUGAUUAUUAUCACUUAAAAUAAAUUUAACAUCCAUUAGCAUUUAUAUAAUUGUGAUUAUCAUCACUUAAAAUACAUUUAACAUCCAUUAACAUUUAUAUAACAUAUUAAUCUAAAAAAAAUCAAAUAUACAGUUAAGAUUUUGUAAAGAUCAUUAUUGCACUUUCGUGAAAGAAAAAUAAAGCUUGAUUUUUAUAAAAAAUAAAUUUAUGUUACAAUACCUAAUACCUUUAUAUAGCAUAAACAGCACCAAAUCCAAAAUUGUCUAUCUUGUACAAACACACCGACAUAUUUCAGAUAAAAUACAACUCACAUAGAUCUAUGACUAUUUACCAUAGUCAUUGUAACAAGAUCAGCGUCAAUGUGCACAUGUUUGAAAGGAGAUCAGUCAAACUGAUAUCAAGAUGCAUACUACAGCUAUAUAAAACCAGCAUACCAAGAGUCCAUCUCAAGAGAACAGAAAAUUAGAAAGAAAAGGCUGUCAAAAUUUCAGCAGGAACCAGUCUUAAAUUAUAUCUGUUUGCUUGAAAUACAGGUAGGUAAGUGUAUAACAUGCCACCCAUCUAAAAAAAACUUGGAAGGCAAUGUGAUGUGUUUACCUUAGGGGAAGUAACUUCUUGCCGAAAAGCAAUAAAAGAAUCAUGAAGAAUCAGCAGUUACUACAUAUUUCACAACAUUAGACCAGAGGUCAUCAGAUUUUCUUGCAAUGAUGGCAGUGAUAUUAAAUAGGCCUAAAGAACAAAGGUCAAGAUUGGUUUCAAGAGUACUGAUAUAGAUGGUACAACAAUCUCGCCUCCGCCAUCACUGGUGCGGCCUUAAACCGUAUGUCACCAACAGAAUAUAAUCUGGCUCGGAAGAUAUUUCCAUUAGACAUUUGUCUUACAAAACGAGUAAACCGAUCCCAAUUUCGGGAUUCAAACAAUCUUUUGUCCAUUCUUACAAAGUUGAACGAGAAAGGUCGCUUCUCUAUCCCAUUCGAGUAAAACUUUGACAUCUUCAGCACCUGGGUGAAUGCACCAUCAUCCAAAUUAGUUGAAAAAUUUUGACCUUCAAGUGAUAGGUCACAGAGUCUAGCAGCCAACAAAAGCUGUCUAAGAAAACCUUCAGGGCUGCCAUCUGGAUUGAUCUUCUGCAUUAUUGCAUCUUGCAUCUCAAAACAAGAGCAGCACAUCGAGAAUCCAUACUUACUAAACAUACGGGCAAUGGGUAAGUAUCCAUCUCGGUUAAAAGUGUUAUAAUAACCAGCUGUUAACUCUGAUGGAUGGGAUUGUGUGACAUAGUGCCAGUGAAUGGCAGCCAAUUUUGCUGAUAUAUGGACUUCUGUACCCCUAAAUAUAGUUUCAGCUUCUCUACAAAUCCUUUCCCCAUGCAGCAGCAACAUGUCUGAGUACCAUUCAAGGAAAAAUUUACCAUAUGGUCUGUCCCAAGAACCACCAUCAUUUUUGAAAAAAUCAGUAUGCUCAGGAUUGUGCAUCAAACUUCCAGUACCAAAUGGACCACCAUUUCCCCAUUCACGCAUUCCAAUAUUUCUUGCAGAGGCAUUCAGAGAAGCAAGCAUAUACUGGCAGGUGGCAAGCAAGACAAAACAAAAGUUAAACACAAUACUAAUCCCACUUUUAAGUCUCUCGUGAAACAGAACAACAAUAACACUACACAAACAACAAACUAGUGCCUAAAUCUGACUCUUCUGCCUACCUUGUCAUAGCAUUGAAAUUCUCCAAGUUCACCAGACCAUGCCAAAUUUGGCUCUUCUAAAGAGGACAAAGGAUACCUUAGUUCACCACCAGGACCCAUGCCAAUCUGUACACCCUGCAACACGAACAGAAUGACAUAAAUAUUUACAACAAGAUCUGAUAAUAAUAUUUCGAAUUUGAACCUUGGAUUGUAACAAACCAAAAUCAUCAUAGAACCUUACUGUAAUGAUAACACCAAGCAAAGCCCUGAAAGUGUCCCUAAAAUCUCUCAUAAAAUCAGCAUACACUUGAAUAGGAGAUCGUCCACACAGCACAGGAAGAAUAUCACAUCCAAGGGAAAUGUAUUCAAUAUUUCUUCUUCCGAACCGGUCACAAUAUGCUAACUCUACAUCUUUCUGUAUCUCAUCAAGCACCCAUAGAGGAAGCGGUAUCCUACACAAGGGGGACAAACUUCCAGAGUAUGAGGCUCAUGACUAGGAAACAAUUCCUACCUACAAAAAUAGUGAUAAUAAUUCAAAAUAAACCAAAUCAACUGUACUUAGAUCAUCGCAAAACCCAGGUCAAAUGUCAAUACAUAUUGAAUGAAAAAAUUACACAACCAUAGUUAUUAUUUUCACAUGCUAUUAAAUCACAUUAGAAGAAAAAAGAAUUUGUAGUUGGACAUUGACUCAACUGCAAAAACUAACUUUAAGCUAAAGGUUGUUUCCUGAUUAUAUACACUAUUUUAAUCCUAUCACUACUCAAAGUGAAAGUUCUCAGACACUCCCUCACAGGACAAGACAUAAUGUUUAGACAUUUUGAGCUUGAAGUUUGUAGCACUGAUAACUGUUGUAGGUGAUCCAAUAAGUCCAACAACAAUAUCAGGACAGGUUUUGACAUCAUCUAAGAAUUUGUCAAAACAACAACAUCCAUAUAUUCAUAUAUCAUCUUAAUAUUUGAGUAUGAAACUAAUUCGGUCACAAAAAGCUAACUUAUAAAGUAUAAAUUAUCCUCAGGUUGUAACAGUUUCGGUCAUUUUAUAGCUAACGUCCCCACAUACCAAUUGGGAUCAUCAGGUCCUGCGCCAUGCUGAUGAAAGGAGAGAACAGCUCGAACCUUGAGGCCACACUUGCAUGCCAUAGCGACAAGUUCCUCGUACCCUCUCCAAUCGUAAACCCUAGGUUUGUUCUUCUCAACCAAGCCCCACCAAAUCUCGACCACGACACCUUCAACGCCGGCCGUGGCGAGCGCCUUGAGCGAGAACAUCAUCGCCUUAGGCCUCAAGACUCGGCCUCCCUCCCGGCUGACGGAAUUCACCGGCAUCGUGACGAACACCGGCGAGCCGCUGCGGCGGCGCUGCGCCGAUAAGUCGUGGUGCAGCUCGUAGGAAACAUCACCGCCGUUGUCCGGCGAGAGGAAGCCGCCGGCGCCGGGAGACUUAGAGGAGUUGAAGCAUGAGGAAACGGUGAAACGACGGCGGAAGGUGACACGGCAGGGGAAGCGAGUGAGGCGAGUGAAAUCGGAGCGAGUGGAGACGAAGGAAGGGGAGAAACUGGCAGUGGAUUGAGAGAGGAUGGCCAUUGAUUGGGAAUUGAAGCUUUAGGGUUUGAAAGAAAGUGAGAGUGUGUUGUUGUGAGUGAGAGUCACAUAGAGAAGAGAGGAAACACAGUGAUGAGGUGAGGAAUGCAUACUACACUCUACUCUUCAACAACCAGGAUGUGGAGGAGAGAUUAUAUGUCAUUUUUUUCACUUUUUCAUUUUCAAAAUUACUUUUUCUUUCUUUUUCUUCAUUCUUCAACAUCUUCAAAUAAAUAAUAAUAAUAAUAAUAAUAGUUAACAUUAACAAAUUGUAUUAUAUCUUCAAAAAUAAUUUUAAGUUAUGGGCACUUGACAUAAAUAAAGGCACCUUGGACAUCUUUUUAUUAUAGUUAAAUUCUUAUUUAAUAAAUUAGAUUAAUUAGUGUGACAUUUAGUAGAGAGUGAAUUUUUAAUGCAUAAUCUAUUCAAUUUUUAGAUUUUUUUAUUAAAUAUUAAUGGAUUUUAAUAGGAUCAUUUCCAGAUUUUAAAUAUGUGAAUCAAUAUAUCAGAGUCCUCUUCCAUUUUAUUUACUAUACUAAAAUUAAAAUUAGUGUUUAGUCUUUUAUAAGAACAAGUUUAAAAUUAAUAGUUUAAUGAGUAGUAAUUGCCAUGUAUUAUUAUAGACAGAAAAAACUUCAGGAAUUAUGCACUUUUUGUAUUACCAUGUUAUCAAAAAAAAUUCUAUAAGAUAUUUUUCCUUUAUAUGUUUAUAAAACGUUUGAUGCACUAUAAAAAAUCAUUGAAAUAUACAACUAAGCACACACAAAGUAAAUAAAUGUUAUCCAACUAUGUCUUUAGUGAAACUUGUAAAAAUAUAGAUAAUAAAAAAUUCAAAUAAAAAUAUGCUUAUUGUAUUAAUAUAUUUUUCUAUCAAGUUAUUGCAUGCAAUAAAAAUGAUAGAGAUUAAAAGUAUAUAAAAAAUAGCAGGGACGGGUGAGUUUUUAAUUCUUAUAAUUAUAGCUAAUUUCAAUUUUAGUUUAUGGUAUUUUAAAUAAAUUAGUCUUUAAAUUUUUUUAAAUAUGUAACAUCAAGUAUUCGUCCAACUCAAUGAGAAUCGGUUAAUCGUCAGAAAAGUUAAAUUCAUAUUAUGUGUGAUUAUUAGCUUAUUAAUCUAAUAGUACAGCAAAACUAAGUUUAUCUAAUAAUUAUAAAAUAUAAAAUAUAUUUUCAAAAAAUAAGAAAUUAAAAUUAAAAUAUAUUAUAUAUAAUAUUAGUAUUUUUGUUACUUGAUUUAAUGUCAUUCAAUUAAAAUAUAAGUAUUUUUGUUUCUUAAAAUGUUUAGGAAUUUUUUUUAAUGUCAUUCAAUUAGCAAGAAAUAGACAGGUCAUUAUCAUAUGCAAGUAAUAAGUAGUAAUUUUGAAUCAAGACUCAAUCAUUAAUUUUAUUUUAGAAAACAGUGUACUACAAAAUAAUACACCACUAAUUUUUUUUCUUGAGAUAAGGGUUUGGGUCAGAGAAAAAGACACCUAAAGCUUAAUCAUAAUAAGUUACGUGUAUAGACUUGUCUGUUUGUUACUAAUAUAACAAUUAGCUUAUAUUAAUCUACUUUACAAAAUUCCUUUUUAAAAAUAACAAGUAGUUGUCACUAAAACACCUAGUUAUUUUUCUGAACUAUUAUUUCUCUUAACCAAAACACCUAAUUUUUUGCUGAAGGAUACCAGCAAAUUUAACAUGUCAAAUUAUAUCGUGAACAUUUGAUUAUCGAGUAGAAUUCUUGUAAAUCCAUCCAAAUAAAAUGUCCCUUUUACUUAGAUUUUUUCUUAGAAGAUUCAAACAAUUAUGCUUAAUGAUUGAAAUGUUUGUUAGAUGCUGCCUGUGCAAAACGAAAAUCGGGACAAAACUAGCCAAUUCCUCUCUUUUUUACCAAAUAAAACUAUCACAAAUCAGAGAUUAAAUAUCAUUGAAAUGACAAAACAAAAUUGUUUAAACCAACGGCUAAUCAUAUAACUAAAAUUAAAAAAGUAUUAUAAGAACAAUUAGUUUAUCAUUUAUCGUAUUAUACACACUCAUUCCACAACAUCCUAAUAAGAAACUAAAAUGACAUUUGUCUUCUUCAAGCACUUAGUUACAAUACGAAUCAGAACUGCCUGAACCAACUUGAUAGAAGCAUAUGAAAACACUUAAUAACUAAUACUGACCCAUAAAAAACCAUGCACAUGUGUGGAGGCAGUGUAUAUACGAAACUGUGAUCUCAAUCUCAAUACGUUGGUGACACGUUCAUUCGUAGAUGCCAUGCGGCGACAUUAAUAAUAUAAAUGUAAAAAACUCAGGAAUCAAAACUUUGAAGCGGGUGACAAAAAAUUAUUUGAAUAAUUUCAAGGAACCGCUAAAAUAUGUUGCAUUACCUAUCCCAAACAGAUGGAUGGACUAAGAUGAUUGUUUCAACUCUACAGCCAAUAAAAGUAAAAGGAAAAGGAAAAGAUAAAAAAAAAAAAGUAAAGGACAUAAUAUCUAGACCACCAUAGACUCCAAAACACAUGCAACUCCAAUAUUGAUGGUAUUGGCAGACAUCUAUCUCUUUUCUUGCUCCUCCUCCCCCAUUUAGACUUCCUGUUUCUCCUCCUGUACGUAAAAACCUAGUCUUCUCUGCCAAGGUAGCAGAAAGACUGGUCAUCACCCACCGACUUCCACCAUAGCAAUGCAGAACAAUAAAUUUAAAAAAGUAAAAAUGAAAACGCAGACUCCAUGUUGCUGACAUGUAAUGCAGAAAGCCAUAGGACCGAACACCUGUGCCCAAAAAUGGUGAUGACCCGACUCAUGGUAUGCAGUUGAGACCCCCACGCAACAAAUGCAGAUGAUGUAUGCAAGAAGAACUAGAAAGCCUUAGUAACAUCCUCAAAAUGAAAUUGCUCGACUAAUUGCCAACUUGGCCCAUUCCGCAGAUUCCUUAAUCAAAUGAUCAUCAGAUGAUAAACACUCUUUGAGGAAGUCUUUGCUGGACACAGACUGCUGAAUCAAGUGGCCAGCAUUACUACCCAAAGUAUCAGCUAAAUCUCCAAGCACACCAAUUGCUGUCUUCGUAACAACAUCAUCCCUGAAAAGACAAGAAGCACCAAUAAAUAAAUAACAGUUUAUAAAAUUGAAGAUGCAAAAUUCACAAAUCGGACAGGAACAGAAUAUGCAGAAAUUUACUCACAUGUCUUUCUCAAUGUACAAACUAUCCAAGAAUUGCAGCACAUGGGGAGCAUAAGGCAUCAAAAGCUGGGUCUUCGGGGAACCUUUAAACCCUUGGAAGAUCCCUGAGUAUGCCUCUAGGAUUCCAUUUCUCAAAGAAUUUGUGUAUUCUGUCAUAUCGUCAUCAGCAUUGGCUGUAUGAGCAGAGAGCUCUGCAGCACUUUGAAGCAUAGGCAUUGCAUAUAACAGGUACUUCUCAAAGUUUUCUCCAAUUGCCAAUGCAAUGUCUCCAAAACACGAAAAGAUAGGAGGCUUAACAGACCUGUGCAGCUGAUUGCUGGACAAAUCCUUAAGAAGUUGGGUCAUUAUCCCAUCACAAUAAGGCAGUAUUUUCUCCUCCAAAGCUCUGCAUACAUCACCAACCACACCCACUGUGAUAGCACAAACCUGGUAGUCCUCAAAAUUUUGAAGACCCAUUUCCAAAUACUUGUAAAAUUCUGUCAUGUAUUUUGCAAAAUCAGCUCCAGUUGCAUAGGCCAAAGCUCCAAUAGCAAGCAUGGCCUCCUCAUGAGCUGUUGCACUUCGUGAAGCAAAAACUCUCAAAAACAAACCCAUUAUUUGGUCAGCAUACUGCAUGAAAUGAUAUUUCGUUGGUUCUGAAGAUCCCAACUUCUGUAUGAUAACCUGCAAGCAACCGCAUAGAAGUCCUUGUAAUUCAUUCUGCCUCUCGUCGGAUGACAACUUCUGAUUCUCAAGAGUCUGAUGGAGCUCCAACAUGAUGACAGGAACAAGCUGUACUACCAUUGGAGCUGUUUCAUCAUUAGAACACCUCACCACUUCAUUUAAGGCUUCAUAGGCUGCUGUUCUAAGGCGAGAUUCUCCAGCAUCCUCUCUGUGAGUUACAUUGAGGAGAGCUUGAACAAUUUCCUGAAAGAAAGGGGUCAAAGGAGAGGAUGAAGAUCCGGCAUCCUCAUAGCCUUGGGCAAGAAAAUAAAGAGCACCACAAGCCUUCUCGGCAACAUUUGGAACAUCCUUCAUACUCUGAACCAGCACAGUAAUGAUCUGUUGGCAGUUAGCAGGAGUGAUAAUGGGAGUAUCAAGAGCCGAUCCAUGCAAAAAUUCAAACAUCCGUCCAAGAGUCCAUGCAGUUGUGUCUUUCACAUGAUUAUUUGGAUCCUUCAUCAAUGCAGAGAGCAUGAAAUUCAAAGCCAUAUUAACCAGCGGCACUAGUUUAUCAGGGGAUGGACCUUCUAAAAUAGAGCCAAAGGCAUAAGUUGCAGCUUCCCGUUGCCUCCAAUCUGGUUUGGUUAUAUUCUCUUCAAUAAAGGGCAUGACCAAAGUUACAAUAUCAUCACCCACUGUUCGUGCAACUAAUCCCAAACAUGUACCUCCAGCCAUAGCAAUGUUCCACGCUCCUUCAUCCUGAUCUUGGUCUUCUUCUUGCUUCAGAAGUGUCUCCAAUAACAUGGGGACCAAAAAUGAAAGCGCCUGUUUAAUAAAAUAAAAGCAGGGAACAUCUGAAUCCCCACUAAAAUCACCUCCAUAUUCUUCUAAUAUGUCAAUUUCUUCAUCACAUAUUGAACUCCAAAAUUCAAUGGCCUGAAGUGCAACAGGCUCUUCAUCUUCCUUCACAGCCUUGGCAGUGAUAUUGAAGAUAUCUUGGAUGUAGUGAGCCAACUUCUCAUAGUAUGUUGAAGAAAUGGCUACCAAGCACUCAAAUGCUGCUCGUCUAAUCUUCAAUUCAGGUGAUUGGGUGGCCUCACAAACAAUUCUCAUGAUAUAAUCCCGCUCCAUGUCAUUAGAAAAAUUUGCCUGAGCAAAACCCAAAGCAUUAUACAAUGCUUUUAUGGCAGCAAGCCUGACAUCAUUGUUUUCUUCAGUUGAAUUCAUUCCCUGAACAACUGCAGUGAGUAUCUUAUUUACAUGUUCCUGGUCUACUACAUCCGGGGAAACUUCUUCACAAAUGUACCCAAGGGUCUCAAGAGUUGCCUGCCUAGUAGGAGCAGGAAGCUGGUGAACAUUCGACAAAAGGGAUCCUAUCAAUUCUGGCCACUGUUUAUGAGGCAGCUCAAUGCCGGCAACCUUAGCAAUAACUUGUGAUGCAGUUGAUCGAGCCUCAAGAGAAGGAGAAGAAAGUGUCCUCAACAAGAAUGCCUUAAUCUGGGCUUUCAAAGUUGGGUCCAACGCCAACCAUCUUUGCACAAAUUCUAUUUUCCUGUGCUGCUCUUUGGCGUCCAGAGCAUUCUUGAGAAUUAAACCUGCUAGCUUCCGACUCUCUGCAGGUUUGUCAUCAUUUGCCAAUUCCCCAGCAAGAGAAAACAAGAAACUUGGAAGGUUUUGUUCCUGAAACUGUUUCAAGUUUUCCUCUGCUUGUUUCCUUAAUGCACCAUCGACAGCUUGCGCAUUUAAAAGGAUCUGAGUCACCUCCAUGGCCAUCUGAAGAUAAAACAUAAAUAAAGGAUCUAAGACUAAAUACAAUACUAAUGAAAGAAAAAAAAAGGCAAAUUAUGUAUUCGAAUUCAAUACUCAUUGCAGAGGGUGUAACACAAAGAACAAUGCAAAGACUAAUAGAGAGGGUACAGCAUCAAUAGAAAAGAUUAACAAAACCAUGCGAAAAAACAUAUUUUUAAUGGUACAGUAUUUUUUUCAUCAGAAAACAAAGCAAUGUACAGUGUGCAACAAAAUUUAAGAAGGGUUUCUGAGAGAGAUAUAAAUAUUAAAAGAUAGGAACUAUACAAUGUAUGAGUUUUGGCUAUGAGAUGUGGCCAUAAUGCAGACAAAACUACACUCCUAAAGCAUAACCUCAUAAUCUCAAUCCAGGCUUAUAAAACCAUGUUCUCAGCUGACAAGAAAUUGACCUAACCCUCUCAUAAACCUUAAGUCACCACAUAAAGAGAACACAGCAAUAAUAAUGUAAACAAUAAGAAAUAACCCCAGCAAGAUGUAACAAACCGAAACGACAACAUUUGAAAAUGGAGAACAAAACAUUAGUAGUUCAGAAAACACUCUUAACACAUUAAAACACCACUUGCAGAAGUCCCAACAGAUCGAAAAUGCGAAAAGAUAAUAACCCCACAUCCAUUUUCCACAUUUCCCAACAGUAAAACUAAAAAAAUGCAUCAAGAAUCCCGAUUCGAAUAAAAAUCAGUUCAAAUAACGCCCAGACAGAAAACAACACUGACAAAGAAAGUUAAAGAACUGGUUCUGAUCGCUAAGCAAAGCAAAACAAAGGAAACCCUAAAUACGGUUAAUGAAGUGAAGACACAAAUAAACUAUUGCCAGGGAUCAGCAGUGAUGUAAAGAACCACAAAGUUCUAAUUGGGGAUUAGCGAGUAAGAGAAAAUGGAGAAAGGAUAACUGACCUAGAACGAGUUGGCGAGUUGAAUCGGCGAUAGAGAGUGAGGUGAACGAGUUGACACAAGUUUAAAGGAGAGAGUGAGGGAAGGAGCGCGGCGACUCUGAAACCCUAGCAGAGUGUGGGAAAAAGCAGAGACGCCAAUGUUUUAAGUUUUUUGGGUGUUCAAUACUUGCUUUUUUAUAUUCGCUGUACGACACACUUGGAGAGACGUGAGGCAAUAUCAGCCGCUGAUUCAAAUAGGGCUGAUCUGGACGCUACGAUCUUCUCAUCAACGGCUCUAUUUUGAAAUGCCUGCAUGAUCUGAUUUUUUAUCUGGGUCACGCGACAUCCCCGCGCGUGUGUUCUCCCUCCUGUUUUAAAUCAAUGGCAUAUGAUGUCUAUUCUUUAUUAAGCGCACUGUCAAUGGUGUCGGCUUUGCACUCACCCGAUUAUGAGAGUAUUAUAACCUCUAUCAUCAUAGCUUAUUUUAUCAAAUUAAAUAUACAUGCUAUAUAUAUCAUUAUUAUAAUUUUUAUACAUAAACUAUUUAAUUUUAUAAUUUAUAUGAUCUUAUAUAGUUUUUUUGGUUAAAUUUAUAAUAAAUUUAUUUAUUUUUUACACAGUAAAUUCAAUUUCUUAAAUAUCUAUUUUAUUUUGAUAUAUUUUUUAUUUUUUAUUAGACCUAAUCAUUUCUAAUAUGUAAACUAACAUAAUUUAUAUAUUGCAAUAGAAAAUUAAUAAUUUAAACAAAAAUAAGUAUACCUUUUACUUUUUAGUUAUUAUAGGAUUUUUUUAUGGUUUUAAUAUAUGUUUAUAUAUAUAAGGAGUUGUUUAUGUGUUUUAAUAUAGGUGUGUCAAAUAAAUUAAAAUAUAAUAAUUCAACUUAUUUUUUGUUUAAGUUUUAAUUCUGUUAAUCACUUGUGUAAAGUUUACAUAGUUGUAUUGGUGAUGUUUAUAAUUGACAGUGGAAAUAUAAAUUCUUACAUAGUAAGAACACUUUGACUUUUGUUUAUUGGGUUCUAACCAAAAAAAAAAUUAAAAAGGGUUAACUUUUCCACUUCCUUCUCUCCAAACUAAAAAACAAGCUCUCUAUUUUCAUUUGGUGAUUUAAAUAUGUAUAUAACAUCAAUAUUGAGUGUUAUUUUUGGUAAGUUAUUUCUCUUUCUUUUAAAUUUUCUUAUAUUCUUCUAUGAAAUAGAUGUUUUAAUUUUAUUAAAAUUGUAUCUUCUUACAUGAAAAAUUUAACUAGAACAAAAAAAUAGUUAUGUUUUAAAAUUCAAUUUAAAUAUGUAAAUAUUCAAUUAGUAUUAUUUCUAUAUGUUUUGACCUAGUAUGUUAAAUUAAUAAAUUAUAAGUGAUCUUGGUUUUAAUUUAAUGGAGUAAAAUUUAUGUCAUUUUUAAGUAUUUGUUUCUUUUAUUCUUGAAUUGCGAUUUUUAAUAGUGUUUUAUUUGGUAAUAACUUGCGUAAAUAUAAUCCUAGUCAAAUUUUGUAAAUACUUCAUGAUAAAUUUUCAAAUCAUAUUAUUUGAAUAAAAAAUUCUCAGUUUAAGUAAAGAGUAUGAGAUAAUUUAUUUGAGUUUUCUCUGCGUUUCUUGAAGUUCAGACGGUUAUGAUUGUUGAGUUUUAUUAUGUUAUACAUGUUUUGAAGGAAGCUCAAAAUAUGAGACUUACUAAUGUCUGGCUGAAAUGUGAUUCUGCUUUGGUUUGUGUUGUGUUUACUGCUAGAACAAUGUUCCAUGGAUGCUUCGUAAUCAAUGGAAUAUUUAUCUUAAUUACUGUGAGAAAAUAAGAUUUAGAGUUACAAUAUUUUUCGUGAAAGGGAUGUGUGUGCUGAUAAGUUGGCUAAUUUAUGAAUAAGUAUGUUCUUAAAAUUCUUUAUGAAUAAGUAUAGUCUAUCAAUAUAUCGUUUAUAUCGUUUUUGUUAACAUAUGAGUUUUGGUAUAAUACCCCAUUUUUUUUUCUUUUUAAUAAUAUUUUUUUUUUCAUGCGAUGACAAAUGAUUGUUGUUACUUGAGGUGUUAUCAUAGCUGAAAUGUCAAAUUGCAUAAUAAUGCCUAACAUGAAAGUUUUUUAUUUAAAAAAAAAAUGUCUAAAUGUGCAAAUCACAUUACUCUGAAACUUCUAUACAAGAUUGGUUGUUGAUUUUUUAUUUGACAAAUUAGUACAUAUAUUGUGGAUGUCUUUACCUUAUGUCAUCAAUAGUCUUUUAUAGUAAUCAAUCUUACAUCUAGUUGAUUGUAGUAUUGAAAUUGUGUUUUUUAUCAUUUUUUCCAGUUUUGUCGUGUCUUUUAUUCGGUUUGUUCUAGCCUUUUUUUGUAUUGAUAUUUUUUUUAUUUUGUCUUUAAAUUUCUUAAAGUUUUAUAUUACGUGAUAUCUGUAUAAUUGUUAUGAUUUAAUUUGACACCUUGAUUCAAGUAAUUGAUCUAUUAUUUUAUCACUGUUACAAAAAUGUGAGAUUUUUUUUUUUAGAUAUCCCACCUUAUGUAAUCCUUAAAGUUAAGAUAUAUAUGUAUGACACCUACAAUAUUUUUUCUUAUUUUUAUGUUAAUUUUUAACUACUGUGUUGUUUAAGUUUGUUUGUUUUUUUGACAUUUUGUAGGAAAAGUGUAAAGAUCUUCUCAUACUCUUGUUUCUCCAUGCCGCCAAAUAUAAGGUGAAAGUAAACAGUAGAAAGGAAAAAUUUACAUAAGGGAUAUACAUUUGGAAGAUGAAUGACAAUAUCCAAAAGUUCUUCUAAAUAUGGAAAACUAUGAUAUAAAUGAGGAAGGACACCAACAAAAUUACGAGUUCAUAAAAGGUGUGAAACACUAGUAUUCAUUAUUAUGAAUAGGUUAAACAAAAAUGUUCAUUGAUAAUUUUAUUUAUAAAUAAUUAACAAUGCAUCUUGAAUGGAAAAUAAAAGUGAAUCAAAAAUUUCAUUUUUUUAGAUUUGUUGAGAAUUAUAAGAUCUAAGAAACAUGAAAUAGUUUGAGAAGUGUGUCAUUAUUUGGUGUCACUAAACUUGGAUGGAUAUUAGACUAAAUAAGAGGUCACUGUGAUUUAUUGGGUGAAACUUAAAAAAUACAUGGACUUUAAAUUUGUUCCUUAUUACUAUGAAGAAAAAAAAAAAUUUGAAGCUCGAACAACUUCAACAAAGAGACGAAUGUGCAAAUGUUUAUUUAAGAGACCUACAAAGUCUUGAAACUUAAUAUUCACAAAGAUAAUGAUGUUAACGUGACUAGAUUUAAGACUGAUCUUAAUAGAAAUAUUUAGUAUAUAUUAAAGUCAUACGAGUAUGAUUUUUUCAUAGAGUUUUAUUUAUACACAAAAUAAAGUGAAAUCCCAACUUAGAAUAAAAUAUUUUUUUUUAUAAAGUACUCAUAAUGAUAACUCGAUGAACAUAUUUUUAUUCACACGUAAUAGUUUUAGUCAUAAAUUAUUGGACUAUAAUAAUAAAUAAACAAAAUCAAUUUUUUUCUAAAUUUUUUAAAGAGAUUACUCAUCAUGGUAGUUUUAGGAAACAUAAGCAUUCUCAAUCUUUUAUUUUCUAUACUUCUUUCUCGUAACACUUCUUUUGUGCUACUAAUUGUUCUACUAAGAGAAUUAUGAUCUUAUGAAAAUGACACGAAAUUAAGUAUUAUUUUUUUUCUUCAAAAUUUCCAUUUUAUAUUUCUUACAAUGAUGCAAUAUCUUGAAGGAUGAUUUAUUAAUGGUUUGAGUCAAAAUCAUUUAAAUAACUUUUGUGGAUAAAAUUAUUUUCAUACAAUGUGUUCAUUGAUAUUAUAACCACGAUAAUGAAAGUACUUAUUUCUUUAUGUAUCGGUAACUAUAGUUAAAAUAUUUUGUGUAAUAUUGUACACCUAGUCACUUAUUAUUAUGAAAAUUAUAUCAAUUUGAUAUGUCAUAAUGGUAUUUCCAAUAUUUAUUAUUUUAAGAACAUGUUUUGUUAUCAAAUAAGAUAUACCGAUAGAAAGAAAAUAAAAAAAAAAUUAAGAAAAUAAAAAAAAAUGUUUUUUUGAAAAUUAAAGAAAAUUCCAAAUCAUUAAAUAAAUUGUUAUUAAGACAAUAUUUACAUUAUUUUCAAAACAAAUCUUUAGAUUUGAAACAUCAAUCAUGUAAGGUUGAGAAAGAAGUUGGAAAUAGAUAAAAGAUUCAAAGUACCUCAUGAAAUAUUUCAAACCACACUAGGGUGCCCAUUUUAGUUUUUGUGAAUCUUUAGCCAAUACUAAGAACUUUUUACCCAUUAGUUGGCAUGAUGAAUAAGAAUAUAAAAUAAACAUUGAUAUUUCAUAAAUAAUUUUUUUAAAAGUUAAAAAAAAAACUUUAUUAGAAGAUAUUUAUUUGCAACACACACUUGUUUCAAUAAUGAGAAAUUAGAAAGAAAAACAUAAAAAUUUGUGCAAUAGAACAUAUUUUAAAGUCAUUUUUUAAUAAAAUAGAAAAGCACUCAUUUUUAGUCCUACCAUACUAAGUAAUUUGUUAUUCUUUCAUAUACGUUUCUAAAAUUCGAAAAUGAAUUCUCUUUAAACAUGAAGUUGGUAAGUGCAUGAAUUAGAAUAGUUUUUUAAAAAAUAAACUACAUUAUUUAUAUUUCUGUAAUAUAAACAAAUUAUUAUAAUUUUUUAAUAUUACUAUAUUUAAAAUCAAUCAACAUCAAAACACUAAAUGAAUAACAUUUAAAAUUAAAAUAUAAUCAUUCCAUCAAUUUGUUCUUAUUUUCCUUCUAGAAUCUUUUUCACUUAUUGAGUUUUUUUUUAUUCUAGAUUUUGUUGUCUUGAAUGUUUUAUAUUCUCUGUUUGGGUUUUUAUUUUUAAAAAAAUAUAAGGGACAAAUCAAAGGUAAAUGUGGUGUAUUCUCUCUCUCUAUAUAUAUAUUAUACCUUGUUCAGUAACUUUUCUAGCACUGGUCAAAAGCUAUCAUGAUGUUCUUGAUUAUUUUUUAACUUCAAAUGGUGAACUGCAUUAAACAAUAUAAAGAACUUAAUACUUCAAUUUUAUAUUUUUUCAUCAUCUAUAUUUUUUUUAUUUAUAGGAAUUUGUUCUAAUUCUACAUAUUUUUUUUUUAUCAAAAUCAUAUAAAUAAGUAAAAUAAAAUUUGUUAUUAUUAAAUAUUUAUUGCACUUACGUAGCAAAUACUUUUAUAAGUACACGGAGAACUAAAAUUCAAACACUAAAAAAAGUUGUUCUUAAAAAAAAAAAUCACCAUCAAAUAGUAACUUGUUUAACAGGAAAAUAUACUUUCUUAAGCUUUUUACCAGAACAUAGAACAUGUUUUGUAACACAUAAUUAUAGACUUUCUCUUUUUUAUUUAAGGCAGAUUAAAAGUGUAAGAGGACAAUAAGCAAAAGUUAGCUUUCUUUUAUCUUCCCUUCAAACCGAUUUUCCAUUAUAACCAUUUUUCUUUAUACUUAUUUUAUUUAUUUAUUUUACCUUUAUUUAAUAUAUUUAUUUUACUAAUACAAUAGAGUAUUUUUUUAUUUUAUAUAAAUUGUUUAAAAAAUAAAAUAAUUUUUUAAAUUAAUAUUAAUAUACAAUUUUAUAUAAUUUCCUAUAUUUUAUUUAAUUUCUUAUUUUUAAAGCAAUAAGAAUAAAAGAGAAAUCAUAAUCUUACACAUUUUUACACUAAAUUUUAUAUAUAAAAUAAAAUAAUUUUAAUUUUCGAUCACUACAUUUUAUUUUUUUAUUUUUUAAUUUUAACUUCUUUAAAAUGAUUUUUAUAUAUGUUACAAUUCUAUCAUAUAAAAAUUAAUAAAAAAAACAUCCAUACAGCGCAACGACCGUGCCUGUAUUUUUACCAGUAAACAUAAAGGAAAAGGUAAACAACUUCUCUAUCUACAGUAAUAUUUUUACUAGUGAUAUUUUUAUUAGUAUAUAAGUUAUCACUAUUUAGAUUAAACAUAUCCUUAAUCAUUAACAUAAUUUAUAUUGUUUUUAGUUGAUACUAAAAAUUUAAUUUAUGUUUACUGUGUGCGUUUGUGUUUUUGAAUAUUUGAUAUCUAAUAAUUAUUUUUUAAGAUUAUAAACUACAAGAACACUUUAGAAUUAUAUCAAAAUAAUAUAUAUUAAAAGAUACACUAAACCUGUGUAUAAUUAAGAUUUAGUUAUUUUUAAUCCUUUAUUUCUAAGAUAUUUAGUUGGAUAUAGAUACAAUAUUUUUUUACUUACCUUUAAAAAUUUACAAUGAAACCUUAAUAUACUUUUGAAAUAAAAAAAAUUAUAUCAAAAUUCCACUAACAUGUGAAUUUGAAAUUCAUAUAAAAAAAUAUUUCAAUUAUCUUUGUUAGCCAUCCAAUUGAAAAAAAUGAUACAUAUAAAAAUAACUAAUAAAAAUUUAGAACAAAUAAAUUAAAAUUACAAUAUUAUUGGUAUAAUUAGAAAAAUAAAUAUAAUCGAAUCAUAUGUUAUUUACAUAUGCGGUAUCACAUAACCUUUAAUAAAAAAAAAAAAUCCAUAUUUAUAAAAAUCUUGAUUAAAUUGAUAAGUGGGUUUGGUUGAAAUAGGAACCAAUUCAUUCUAAUGUUUUUAAUUAGAUUUCAAUUAAACUGUCAAAUCGAUUAUGACCAAAAAAUGAAUGGAUUAAAGGGUCCAAUCCAUUGACCAAAAAAAUAAGUUUUUUUUGUUAUAGAUUUCUUUAAGAUAUUUGUAAUUACUAAUAUAUAUUUUAUUUGUUAUUGUUGAACUUAAUUCAUAUGUAUUAAAUUUGUUGGUUUUAUGUAUGGCAUGAUUUUGUUGUAUGAUAUUACUUAUGAGAUUUAAAUUUUAUAAAUUUAUUUAUAUUAUUUUUUAUCAAUUUUCUUUCGUGUCUUAUAUUUUUAUGUAAAAAACUAAAAUAAUAUUAUUUUAUUUAAUCAAUUCAGAUGAGCAUUAAAACUAAAUAUUUUAGCGUCUGUUCCAGUCCUGAUAACUAAAAAAAAUCACAUACUAAUGCCUUAACACUAAUUUGAAAUUAGUAUAAAAAAUCAAAUUUCAUUUUAAUUUUAAAAAAGAUUAUUACAGCUAUACUAUUUUAAAAUUAAAUUUAACUAAAUACUAUUUUAUACUAUUUAAACUUCACAAAAUAAGCAGAUGAAUUAAAUAGUAAAUAAAUACACAAAAUAUGUUUAGCACUAACAACAACAACAACUUAAUGUAAUAUGAGUAAUAAGACAAUAAUUAACAGCGAUAGUAGAUGGAAGAAUAUACUAGAGGUUAACGAGGUCAUCAAGAUGGACGGCGGAGAUAUUCCCAACACAAGAACGAAUGCUAUUGGCUGGAGCAAGCAAUUCCCGAAUCCUGAUUGGUCCACGUCAUCAUCUAUGACAUGUUUUAGCGUCAAGCUUAGUUAGGUUCAGGAAAAGACCAGGCUUCGCUAGAGUCACCAUUCAUCACACACUACAUAAAAGGCUCGUCGCCCUCGUGCCAUUUCCAAACACCAAAACCAUUUAAACGCUCUUUCACCUUCAAUUUCGACUCGAACAUUCCAACUGAAAUCGUUAUUUUUCUUCAGAGGAAGAGAAAGAGAGAGGAAGAGUGAGUGUGAGAGACAGCAAUGGCUGGCUCGUUGGCAAGCCGUUCUCUGAUUGUUCUUGCCAUUGUAACCUUCGGUAAUCUUCAUGACCUAAUUCUAGAUCUGAUUAUUUUAUUUUAUUUUUCUAGCUUUUUAGCUGUUUUUGUUUCAGUGUGGAAGUGAAAGCAAUGCAAUAGAUCUCGCUUUGUUUUAAUUUUUUUUGGUUUUGUUUUGCAUGAUUUGCUGCGUUAACUGUUACCUACAGCCAGAUCAGAUCAGUGAGUGUAGUGAGAUCUUAAACAGUAGUUGUUUGUGAUUUUGUAAAUCGUUCUGUGGAUUAAUUCUGCAGUUCUGCAUUUCAGUGACGUUUUGCGUUGAGAAGCCACGUGUUAGUAAUGUAGUUUGCCUUUAUCUGCAUCUGAGAAUUUUGUUAAAAGUUAUUUGUUAUCGUCGCCAUCGUAUUCUUUUUUUUUAGUUUGUUGAUAGAGAUUUUUAUUAUAAAGCCAAGUGAUUAGUAGUCCCAUGGCAAGAAGUUUUGUUUUGCCGCGUUGCUUAAGAAUUUUGCUGUCUUGUGUAUUUUCAAAGUGUUGCCGGUUUCGUAUUUUUUUGUAUUUGGAUUUGAAUACGACAACAUCAUGUAGUUUCCCUCCGUAGAUAGUUAAAUACGUUAGGAGACUAAAGUAAGGAGCCGUUAUGGUAGUUUUGUUAAGGGAUUCAUAUAUUAUUGUAUUGUAUAGUUUAUUUUGCUGAAUUUGACUCUGUUUAACGGGCAUGUCAUUACGAUGAGUUUCAGUGUCGUAAAAAAUGUAAUUAUGUAAUUAACAUUGAAAAAUUUCUACAUAGGAUGUGUAUUUGCAAUUUCCAUUGCAAAGGAGGAAGCUACAAAGUUGGGGACGGUCAUUGGGAUUGAUCUUGGAACAACCUAUUCUUGUGUUGGUGUUUAUAGGAAUGGCCAUGUCGAAAUCAUAGCCAAUGACCAAGGUAACCGUAUCACUCCAUCGUGGGUUGCCUUCACUGACAGUGAGAGACUCAUUGGGGAGGCUGCCAAGAAUCAGGCAGCUGUCAACCCCGAAAGGACCAUCUUCGAUGUUAAAAGACUUAUUGGAAGAAAGUAAGACAUUGUCAAGAUUUUGAUUCAGGUCUAUAAAAUUUGUUGAGAAAAAAGGUGUCUGACUCCUAUCAUUUGUCAGGUUUCAAGAUAAGGAAGUUCAAAGAGACAUGAAGCUCGUUCCUUACAAAAUUGUCAACAAGGAUGGAAAACCUUACAUAGAGGUAAAAAUUAAGGAUGGUGAGACCAAGGUGUUCAGCCCUGAGGAAGUCAGUGCCAUGAUUCUGACAAAGAUGAAGGAAACCGCGGAAGCAUUCCUUGGGAAGAAAAUCAAUGAUGCUGUGGUCACUGUCCCAGGUACGUGGAACAAAUCAUGAUAUCACUCCUGUAAUGUUGAUUAUUUUCAAUUCGUCCUGUUUUUGUUUUCAUUAUAAUUUAUGACCUUUGUUCUUUCAAAUACACAGCUUACUUCAAUGAUGCUCAGAGGCAGGCCACCAAGGACGCUGGUGUCAUUGCUGGUCUGAAUGUUGCUAGAAUUAUCAACGAACCCACUGCUGCUGCCAUUGCAUAUGGAUUGGACAAGAAAGGUGGCGAGAAGAACAUUCUAGUCUUUGAUCUUGGGGGCGGGACAUUUGAUGUCAGUAUCUUGACAAUUGAUAAUGGUGUUUUUGAGGUUCUUGCAACAAAUGGAGAUACUCAUCUUGGAGGUAAUUUUUUUAAUGAGUCUUAAUAUGACGAAAUUAUUAUGUAGAAGAAAGAUUAUUAUUUCCACGAAGUUUUCCUCUGAUGUUAUCGCUUGCCAUGCCAUGUGUACUUCCCCUUACCAGGUGAGGACUUUGAUCAUAGAAUAAUGGAGUACUUCAUUAAAUUGAUCAAGAAGAAGCAUUCAAAGGAUAUUAGCAAGGACAACAGAGCACUUGGCAAGCUGAGGAGAGAGGCCGAGCGUGCGAAGAGAGCUCUCAGCAGCCAGCACCAGGUCCGCGUGGAAAUUGAAUCACUUUUUGAUGGUGUUGAUUUCUCUGAGCCACUCACCCGAGCUCGGUUUGAGGAGUUGAACAAUGACUUGUUCCGGAAGACAAUGGGACCAGUGAAGAAGGCCAUGGAAGAUGCUGGAUUACAGAAGAGUCAGAUUGAUGAGAUUGUUCUUGUUGGUGGAAGCACAAGGAUUCCGAAGGUUCAACAGCUUUUGAAGGACUACUUUGAAGGAAAGGAGCCAAACAAGGGUGUGAACCCUGAUGAAGCAGUUGCCUAUGGUGCUGCAGUGCAAGGAAGCAUUUUGAGCGGAGAGGGCGGUGAAGAAACCAAAGGUACUCUUAUUUUUUCAUUACUUGUGAGAAGUCAGAAAUAUUAUUCAUACAACAAGUAGAUUGCUUAGCAUUACACACUCUAAUUGCUUUUGGAACUGUGGAUCCAGAUAUCCUUCUCCUGGAUGUGGCACCCCUCACCCUUGGAAUUGAAACUGUUGGUGGAGUGAUGACAAAGUUGAUUCCCAGAAACACUGUUAUCCCUACCAAGAAAUCUCAGGUGUUUACCACCUACCAGGACCAGCAGACCACCGUCUCCAUUCAGGUACGCUUCCAUUGUUGGACUGCAUUAAAGUGCAUGAUGCUCGUUUUUGUUCUGAAUCCAAAAUGCAUGUCUCAAAUAUUUAAUUCCUUUUUCUUAAUACGUAGGUUUUCGAAGGUGAGAGGAGUCUGACAAAGGACUGCCGUCUGCUUGGGAAGUUUGAUCUGUCAGGAAUUCCUCCAGCUCCAAGGUUAGUUUCAUGCUUUCACGAUCAUGGAUGGUGUGCUCUCCAAAUGUUGCUUCAAUUGAUAUAUGUAACUAACUUGUAUGUUAUGUGGUAAUUGAAAAGGGGUACUCCUCAAAUUGAAGUGACGUUUGAAGUUGACGCAAAUGGCAUUCUGAAUGUGAAAGCGGAAGACAAAGGCACUGGGAAAUCAGAAAAGAUCACGAUUACAAAUGAGAAGGGACGUCUGAGCCAGGAGGAAAUCGAGAGAAUGGUUCGUGAGGCUGAGGAGUUUGCGGAGGAAGACAAAAAGGUGAAGGAGAGAAUUGAUGCUCGUAACAGUCUUGAAACCUACGUCUACAACAUGAAAAACCAGAUCAGUGACAAGGACAAACUGGCUGACAAGUUGGAGUCAGAUGAAAAGGAGAAAAUAGAGAGUGCAGUGAAGGAAGCAUUGGAAUGGCUGGAUGAUAACCAGAGUGUUGAGAAAGAAGAAUAUGAGGAGAAGCUCAAGGAGGUCGAAGCCGUUUGCAAUCCAAUCAUCAGUGCUGUCUAUCAGAGAUCAGGAGGAGCCCCAGGUGGUAGUGAUUCAGCCGAGGACGACGAUGAUUCUCACGACGAGCUCUAGAGAUGUUGGCUAUAACUUGGCUUGUGUCUGUUGAUUAAGCAGUAGCAUGGAAAGAUUGAGUAGUAGAGUAGGUUAAUUGGAGUCUUAAAAUUUUUAUAACAGGUUAAAGUUGAGAGUCUCCCAGCUCUUGUAUUUUUGGUGUCCAAACUACAUUAAAGAUAAAUAUUUUAAUUUGUUUUAGGAGUUUUCCAAUCAUAAUUAUUGAUCUCCCAUGCUGUAUGCGUCAAAUGGCAUAAGCCAUACUGCAAUCAAUAUCUGUCACUUUAAUAUAAUUCCUUUCGCCAGACAGAUGUCAAAUAGUAAAAUUUAUAGCUAAAAUUAAUAUAAACAUUAAAUGUCCUCUAAUUGCAUGUUUGGGUGCACGGUGAAAUAGUAAUCAACACGUUUUUUCCAAGUACAUCAUGUGAUUGCUUCAAAUUGUGAACUUUGAACUUAGAUAAAACUUUCAACCUGACACUGUUGAAUUCAAUUCAUCACCUAUGAACAAAAUACACAGAAGAAUGAAUAAAAAUAGAAAGGAAUGAUUCUCAAAAGUUUAUUAGUGAUAUAAAUGACAACCAGCUUCAAUUUUAUUCAUGAAUGCGAAGGAAAAGAUCUACAUACAAUCCAUGAGUUUAUACAUUUCAAUCACAUGGAUCAGGAUUGUAGUGUGAUAUAUGUGGAGAUUGGUUGGUGAGGAUCAAACAAUAAAGAUUAAGAAGAUCUAGCCAAAAUAAGACACUGUUAUUAAAUUUUAAGUAAAUUGGAGUAAAGAUCCACAACAACAAAACAUUAAUAAAAGUAAUUUUAAAGUACUGAAUUUGCAUAAUAAAAAGAAGGAUUUGGUGGAUAGUAUGACAAUAAAUAAGGGAUUUAACAGUGAUAGUAAAAUAGGGCCAAAACAAAUCAAGUAAUAUUUGUCAUUUUUUUAAUUAAGAUUCACUCACAAAUCUUAAUUAAGUAAUAAAUAAUUUAUUUAAUUUUACAUCUAAAAAGAACUAACCUAGUAUCUACAAGAGUGACACUUCUUCAAGAAGACAUAAUAAAAAAUAUUUUAUGGUGGCAAUCUAUGGCUGUACAUGGGCCUCAAAGCAAGUAGAGUAUGCCUUCUUUUUAAGUGCAAAAUUCCUAAAUAACACAUGCAUCCACAAAUUCUAUCCCUAUAAUCAUCUUAUUACAAGACAAUCAAGUUCAAUCCUCCCAUACCAAUACAAGACCCCACAAUAUAAAUACAACUAAAGUUGUUCUAUCAAUGAUCAAUUGACAAAAAACAUUAAAAAUAUAAAUGAUAUAAUGAUAUCUCGAUAGUGUGAAGAACUUGUAUUGAAAAAAAUGGUUAUAUUAAAGUUAUGAAUUAAUUUCAACCAAUACCAAUCACAAUUAUCUUAAUUGAUUCAAAUACAUUUAUAUAUAUAUAUAUAUAUAUAUAUAUAUAUUAUUCAUAAUAAUUUUGAUUAAUAUUAUAAUAUAAUUUUAUAAAUUAAAUAAUCCCAAAAUUGAACUAUAUUCCAUUGGAAAACAUGAAUAAAGAUACUACUGCUUACGUGGAAAAUUUAAGAAUAUUAAUGUAAUGUAAACAUGAGCUAAAAAAAACUAUGGGCCAGGGUGGCCGUAAGCCCAUAGCAAAAUUGGCAUCUGACCAAUAAUAGAAAAAGGAUUAAUUAAUGAACUAAUUACUGGAUUAUGCAACACAAUUAGCAAAGCGAGAAAAAACAACGAAAGCAGGGGCAACGCGGUCAUUUCCGAUACCGGCCUCUUUCUCACCCUUUCUUUCUCCUAAAACCAAAACACGGUUUCCGUUGGAAGAAGAAAAGAGAAAAAGAAAAAAAAACACAGAAAGAAAGAAAUUGAGAUCUGAUUCGGCGGCGACGAUGGAGAACAACGGAUCCGAUCGGAUGAUUGACCAGGUGGCCAUGUGGCUCGGCUCCACCGUCUCUUCCGCCUUCUUUUCUUCCUUGGAACGCUUUUCUUGUGUCAACGUCGCCACCUCCGACCCCGACAACGACGACGAUGACGACGAUUACUACUCCACCACUGCCACCACUCCCACCGCCUCCACCACCCCCGCAGCCAGCAACUCCACUCCCCCCUCCGUCUCGGUUAACGCCGAAGAAACAAACGACGUCUCCAACCUCCCUGUUUGAGGCCAUACGACGUCGUCGCUGCUGCUGCUCUGUAUAGACCUUUUUCCUUUUCCUCUUUUCGCGUGUGUGUUGUUAUGUAAGGAAUUCCGUUUUUCGUUUCUUCAUUUUUUUUAAAAAAAAAUGUGAUGCCAUUUUAUGCCUGUCUACAUAUAUAAUUAUUUAAUUAUUACAUGCUUAUAUAUUUCUAUUAAUUAUAUUAUUUAUUUAUAUCUAUUCAUUCUAUCUGAUUGCUGUGAUAUGUUAUUGUCGCUAUUUCAAUUAAGCUUGGUUGAUGUUUUUUGUAUUUUGAUUUGGGCAAUUCUUUGAAUUAAUCAUUGGAAAUAUCGUGUUAGUUAUGGAUUUAAUUUGAAUUUACUCGCAAGCGAAGCGUGUAGUUGUUGCAGUACUGUUUCAGAGCUCAGUUUUCAUUACGAGUUUUCUAGCUAGGCCUAGGUCCUGAUUCAUUUAUUUCGUUGUGGUGGUCCAUUGUGGGUUGAGCCUUGGUACAUUGCUAAGAACAACUCACAGAAAUGUUAGUACACUGGAGGCAAUGAUUUCAAUUUUCUAAAAACACGAGAUGACAUGUGAUGAAACAUUAUUGCUGUGUUCAGUGAAAUAGUUAAUUUAUUGGAUGAAUAGGGCAAAAUAGACAUGUAUCCCAUUUGCCCUUGGCUUCCACAUAUCGAAUAAAAUGUAAACACUAAAGGAAAUAAAUAAAGUUUAAGAUGAGGUUUAGUGUAGCUGGUUUUAAAGCAGGUAUUGGAAUACACGUAUGUAUCACUUGAUGCUUAUCUAAUAAGGUGAUCACAAAUUCUAGUUUUGGGGUGUCAAAUGACUGGUAUUAUUUUGCAUACCCAACAUUUUGUUCUUCUGGGAAAACUCGUGUGAAGGAUUUUUUUUUUUAAAUUAUAGCCUAAAGAAGUUAUUUUAUCCUAUGUCACUGUUCGUGCAAAAUUUAGAAUGACUACAAUAGUAUGCUGGGAUAGAAAACGAAAUGGAAGGAAGUGUAGCAGCUCUUAUGUAGAUUUAUUUCUGGGGAUUGUUGUACAUGGGAUUGUGUUAUACCUCCAAAAUCUGAUACGCAAUACAGACACAAUAAUUUACCAGGAAAUUCAAUUUUUUUUAGUUCAUAAAUAUCUGCUAUCAACAUUAGGAGUGAGACUAGGAUAGAGCAAAUCAACAUUUUACGUAUCUUUAUUUUAAAUGUAAAAUAAUUGUAGAAUACAAAAAGGUUGUUACUGUUAAAUGUUUGAUAAUACCUGCUAUCCUAUAUAACAAAAAUUAAGGAAUUUAGUUAGUAGUAUUACACUUCUUAAUUUAUAUUUUUCUAAAUUAUCUCUGGAACUGUUUAGAUUUCAUUUUUUUUGUAUCUCUUUCAGUCUAAUUAACUAGUGUAUCUCCUCUUUAGUUAGAGCAUUUUUGUAGACAAAAAAAUUGUUGGACAUGAGGGAUCUUAUAAAGAAAGAUCAAGACAAACUUCCCUUCCGAUAAAAAGACCAGAAGUAGUAUAAAAUAAUGAUUUCUCAACUGUCAUUGGUUUAGUCUGCAAAAUUUAUAAAGUCUAUACGAGAAGAUCUGUCUUGGAAGUAGAAUUAUCGAUUUUAGAGUAGAUUUAGCUUUAAAAUAUGCUCGAGGAGGAUUAGAUUUUCUGCUUGGUUAAUUCUUUUUAAAAUUGAUUCCCUGUCCGUAUUCUAACUCUAGGAAAAGGUGAUUAAGUUGGAUUGCCUUGUAAAGGAUGUUGGAUAUGCGAAAUAAAUAUCUCUAAUAUCUGUAAUGGAGACUGGUAUAACAAUAUGUUUUAAGCAUAGAACAUGCAAUGUGAGAGUGAGACUAAUUUGAGCUUAUGCUGUACCCUUUUCUUUCUAGGUUCAUCUUUCUCCUCUUUCCCACUCAACUCUUUACUUGUGCUUGUGUGUGGAUGGAUCACUCUAUCCUAUCGGAUGUAUUGCUUUGUAGUUGGAAACAAUAACUUACAGAAUGAAAAAAAUUAUAGUAGAUCAACAUUGUCAUAUUCACUGGCUAGGUGAAAAAGCUUUCUUCAAUUGUUGCUUUUGGUGAUAAUCCAGACCUGCUGGUUCUUUGCCCAUAAUCGCUGCAGUGUUAUAACCAAUUUAUUUUCGUCAGAAUAAUACAAAAACACAACAUGAACAGUAGUACAGUCAAUGCUGUUUUGAGUAUUUUACCGAUUUUACUGCUCUGCAUUCUCCUUCCAACAUAGAAGCAUGACUAUGCAUCGACGAAUUAUGUAAAGCUUUGCUCUCUUCUCCUUCAAAAUUCUACCCUUUGGUGCCUGAAACUUGUCUUGCUUUUCUGUGGACGUGGAAAUAUCCAUGAUCUGGUUUCUCUUUUUCCCAACUAUUCCUGUUAGAAUUCUUCUCUUGCGUCAAGGAAUGUCUCUCGGUAGAAGUCUGUCUGUAGGAGUUACUCAGAUUUUGUUUGAGUGUGCUUUCAGUUUGAAGUCACUAAAAGUGGUGAAAGUAAAGGCAAAUAGUUAUUAGUAAUUGGAGUUAGCUUUCUGCGGUCAAACAUAGAGCAGAUUUUCUGCUUUAAGUCGUGGUCUUGGGCUUCUCUGGUCUAACGUCCGGAAUCCCGGGACUGCUGUCUUCUCUGCUCUGCCUCCCCAUUUACUGCCAAAAGACAAAGAAACUGCCUCUAAUUUCUAUUGGAUAAGUAUAAAUGCUUUAUGAUUUCACUCACUGAGCCUUUCUCUUCAUCAUUAUCUUGUUAAGCUCAAAGAGACUAAUGUGUCGGCCUUUAUUGUCACUCAGAUAUUAUUAUUUCAAGACUUGAUUAUCGUUUUGGUUCUUUCUAUUAUCGUCAUUUCUUGGGAUUCAUUUCGUACUCUCCUAAUUCUACAAUUUUGAUUCUCUACUGUUUUGAUUAUGUAACUGUUUACGACGCAUUGUCGUCAAUAGUCUGUCCAGCUGUUAAGUCAACAUUUAUUUAAAUGUUGAAUGUGCAAUUAACGUUGUUUAAAAUUAAGUAGAUGAAAUAAAUAUGAACACUAAAUGAGAUUUCAACACUAACUUGCAAUUUCCAAUUCCUUUUACUAAGAAAACGAGGGGCUUGAUGCUAAUUUAUAUAAUAAACUCAUAUGCCUAAGUGGGACUAACCUUUGAUAACAUUUAGAUAAAAACUCAUUUUGUUUAAAAAAAAUAGUCAACCUAAUUUUUUAAAGCUAAAACACCACCUUCAAGCCAUUACAUGUGAAAUUUAUUUGUCAAACUCAUUCCACGCUUAGCUAUAACAUUUGCAGCCUGAUUUAAUUCGUGUAAGAUAUGUAUGGAUAUCAUGGAUAGUCUCAAGUUCUUGUGACUGUGAGUUUUAGAGGGAACAACUUAUGCCAUGAAAGAGAAUAUUGUAUAAAUAUCGUAUAAUAUUAUGCUUUAUAAAGUAGAGAAAUUUUGGCAUUUGGUUAUGAAAUUAAAAUAGAUAAAGGGAGAGUCACAGAGAUUCUCGUGUCACCAAUUUCAAAGUAUAUACAAUGCAGAGUUUUGAUCAAAUAUAAAAAUUUGCAAUUGGAUGACAACGCAGAGAAAUUUCACGUUGUCAAUUAUUAAGUCUUUGUAUUUUAUUUAUUUUUGUAACAUAUUUUUAAGAUAAAAUGCCCCUGAUUUUGAUCAUUUCGUUAAAUUUGUCUUUUAAAGACUGCAUUUUAUGAUACUAAGGAAAGAAAAAUCAAUCAAAGAAAUUGAUUCUAUUUUUUCUAUUAAUUUUAAUCACAGACAAUGAUGAAAAGAAAAUAGAAUUCAAAAGUGAUCUUUAAAUAAGAAUUAAAAAACGAAUUAAAACAUAUAAAAAGUAGUAAUUCUCAAGUAAGAAAGUAUUGUUUUUUAGUUACAUCAACACUGUUAUUUUUUUAAUAUUCUUUACAGUUGCAUAUCUCUCUUUUUUCAAAUUACAUUAAGAUCUCCUAUUUAUUUUAAAAUUAUUAAACUGUCUCCAGUGUGAGGAAAUCUAACAUGAUGUGAAUAAUAAACACGGAAAUAAAUUAUUAUGUUAUCCUUUGGAAUUUUCUCUAAUUACACUUACAUCUCCGACUUUCAAUGAGGUGUGUAAAGUGAAGAAAAACAAAAACAAAAAAAAUGACAGCGUCGUGUUUUUAAAACAUUUGUCUAGAAUUUAAAAAAUGUUGGGAUCCUAGUGUAAUUUCAAAAAUAUCAGGGGUUGCCAGAGUAAUUUACUCUAAACAGAUCAAGAGCCAGAGAAAUGAUACCCCCACCAGUAACAAGAUUGCAAAAAAGUGGCGGGUACAUGUGUAAUUACAAUAAACUUCAAGGGGUCUUGAUGUAAUUAACUUUUUUUUUCCUUGUGAGUGAUCUUUUCUCCGACUUUUUUAGGAGGUUAAAAUUGUUAUUUAUCAUUCUUUAUCUCACUUUCUAGAAGUUUACGAGCGUAGAGAAAAAAAGAGGUCACUUUUGUUUUUUAAUGAUUUCUGGAGUUCUCUUUUUUUUUUGUGUAUUUAUCUUGAUAUUUUGUAAAGUAAUUUUUUUUUCACGAUUGAGUGUGUUUUAUUAAUUUUAUAAACAUCUUAUUCAGAUGAUAAUUAAAAGUUGGUUUCUUUAUAUUUGAUUUCAAUUCUUGAUGAUGUAUUACAAGAAUUAGUCACACUUAAAAUAAUUAUUUUUAUUUGUACAUUAAAUAAAAAAUUAUUGUAUAAAUGACAUCUGGAAUUGAAUCCUGUCAACUUUUAAGCUAUAAAUAAGUGUUGAAUACACACUAACUAAUUGGACUAGUUUCAAUGAAAAUAUUUUAUCUAAUUACAGUUUUUUUUCCUUAUGAGUAGUUAAACUGGAUAUUUUUAUUUGUACAUUUUGAAUAUAUUUGUUAAAAUAAAUAAAUUCAUAGCAUUUUCUUCUCACAUUAGUAAUGAUAAUGUAUACGAUUUAGAUAAAUACCAGGUAUUUGUCCUUGUAUACAUAUUUGAAAAUAAAAUAUUAUUUUUUCUUAUAGCCUUCUUUAUAAAAAUGUCUAGUGAUUAUUCUCACAAUUAAUGACUUGAGUUCUUAAAUUCUUGUAUUUAAAGUUAUAAGUUAUAUUUUAGUUAAAUAAAUUACCAUAAUUUAAAUUCACAUAUGCAUUUUAAAAACUUUCACACUAAUCUAAGUGUACAAUUUUAUUAUACAAAUUAUUUUCAUCAAUUUUUUUUUCAAUUUCAUCUUAUUUGCGUUUUUCUCGAAUCCUUGUUGAAGUCAUUAUACAUGCAAUUUUUUUUUAAGUAAUUAACUUGAAAAUGAAUGUGAUUAUCAAUCCCAACUAAAAAUCAAUAGAAGGAGGUUUAUAAGUGUUCUCGAACGGGGUUGAAACCAAGAGAACGACUAUCUUUUUUCUUGGUCGGUCGGUUUACCUCUCAUCUCUUUUUUUCGAAAUGGUCUCCUCACUCUCCUCAUGAACUAAACUUGAAUGGUACUUGUAUAAAACACUCCGACCCUCAAGUGAAAUUUUGAUAUCUAGUGUUCGAUAUUAUUACUAACCAUGCCUUAAUCUCAAAAUUUGUGUCUAUUUAUAUGAUUAUCAUGAAUCUUCUACUAUUUAGUCACAUUAAAAUUUUAAAUCAUGAUUAAAAAUAUAUUUUCUAAAAUUUUCCUAUUAAUUAGAUUUGUCAAUAUUCCGUUUAAACAAUAAUAAAUUUAAUCGUAUAAUCGAUCGUAAACUCUAAAUCAUAAAUCAUUCAACCCAAACCAAAAAAAUCUGCAAAAUAAAUUUCAAUUUAGUUUGCGAAGUUUCUUUCUCAUUAAUAUUCAAUUUGAUGCAUGCAUCUGAUAAAAAGGAUUAUACAAUUUCAAUUUGAAGGAUGAAAUUCAUUAUUCUCUCUUUAAAUCACUCUUCCAUACCAAUAUUGAAGGAUAAAAGUUCUUAUUGUUCCUUUAGAAGUUAUUCUUCCAUUCAUGUCCAUUCUUUCUCUUUCAGUAGUUAUAAAAAUGUUUUAAGCUCUGACAAGAAAUAUAUUUUAGUACUGAAGGAAUAUGGCGGAACAUGAAUCCCUUGAAAAAGGAAUAUCAAAAGCUAAUAAAAAGAGCAAAAGGAAAUGUCACACUCUUCGUAAUCCCUUGAAGGAAUACGGUGGAACAUGAAUAUAAAAAGCUAACAAAAAGAGCAAAAGGAAAGGCCACACACACUCUUCGUAAUCCCUAGCAUCAAUCGCCGGCUUCGCAGAUUUUGUUUUCUUCUUCGUCGUAAUCAUUCCUUCAUUCUUUCUUCUUCUCUUUCAUCAAUUCAUUGCCACAUUUUCUCCCAAAAUAAAAAAAGAAAAAUGCCUGAAAAAUUUUCAUUCCACGCUCACAAACUGCACAUUCUCACAUGGCUUAUUCAUCUCUCACUAACACUUCUCACUGUAACAGCAACUUCAUCAUCAUCAUCAUCACGCUGUGGCAUGGCCGUCACGCCCUCCACCUCGCUCCUCUCCUUCCUCCAACGCCUCCAACAAACCGCCUUCGAGGCCUUCGGCGCUUCCGAUUUCGAUCCCAAGACCUACGUCGACAUGCCUCUCAAGUUCGAACUGUCCGUCACCGAGGACGCGUUCCAGAAGCUUCCGCGCAACGCCCACGGGAUCGUCGCGGUUGAAGAUUUAAAGCGUUUUCUAGAAGCCUACUUGGGAGGUGCAGGGGACGAUCUGGUGUACCUGCAACCACACGAUUUCGUUCGCGAACCGGAGGGUUUCUUGCCCAAAGUCAAAAACCCUCAGGUGCGGGCCUGGGCCUUGCAGGUCCAUUCGCUUUGGAAAAACUUGAGCCGGAAAGUAUCCGCUGCGGUGCAGGCGCACCCGGACUUGCAUACGCUGCUCCCUCUCCCCGGUUCAGUUGUCAUUCCCGGUUCGCGUUUUCGCGAGGUUUAUUACUGGGAUUCCUAUUGGGUAAUUAGGUCCGUUAAUUUUAUUUUUUUGUUUGUUCGUGCACUACGUUAUUACUACUGGGCCUGGUCCUGGAUCUGUCCUUGGGCCUGGUCCUGGUCCUGGAUCUGUCCCUUCUUACUGGGUUUAACUUUUGGGCUUCAGGGGCCUGAUCGCCAGUAAAAUGUACGAUACUGCCACUGCUAUUGUAACCAACCUCAUUUCCUUGGUAGAGCAAUAUGGAUUUGUUCUUAAUGGUGCUAGAGCGUACUACACUAACAGGAGGUACUCUCUACACUAAUUGAAUUGAUUUUUUUAUUUAUUAUUGUUAUAUUUACUGAAUUUUAUUAAUUAUUUCUUGUAAAUUGGAAAUCGUGCAAUAAUUUAUUUGUCAUUUUGGGUAUGAUUUUUUUUAUCUUUUAUUGUAUCUUGAUGAAUAAAAGUUGGUUAUAUAGUUUUAGAUUUUUACACUGUACAUGGACGUGUGGCAUGAAUGAAGACGUGAAGUAUGUGCUAUUAAAUUUUUCUGGAGAGGACAAAGAUGUAGUGUCUAUAUCUUUUGUUAUAUAUGGUGCCUAUGCUGUUUUCAUUUCACUAUAUUGUAAUGUAUGUAAGUUUCACCCCUAAAAUUAGUAUUUAAUGUCUUUUGUGUUUCCAAUAUAAAUAUUUUCCUUUUCAAUAUAACAAACUUUCUAUGUUUGUAUUCUCAUCGCGUAUUUGUGGACAAUUGGACAUGCAUGAAAAUCUUUAUAACUUACUAAUAAAUUUAACUCUCGUUAUUGGCUUGUGUGGCAAUUGCAAACUUCUAUCAACUCUUACCAAUUUACUAUGUUUAAAAGGCGAGAAGUUGCCAAUGUGAAAUUAAUGACCUGUGGUAUGAAAUAGAAUCAUCUUAAUAGUAUUUUACUAAUUCUCUUGCUUACUAAAUGAAUAAAGUAUGGCACACUUUUCACGUUUAUAUUAUAUUGCAUGUAUUUAUAUUUUUUAACAACGUAUUAGGAGGAUUUAUAAGAAGUGUAUUGCUACUCAUGUCUCAACUUGGACCUUUCCUUUUUUAGUUUUUGCUGUAUGCUUAUGAUUUAUCUACACGCAUUUUCUUACAACGUUAAUAAUUUUGAUCCUUUUAUUGAAUUAGAUGCUAAUCCAUCUUUGCACCUAAAAAAGAUCAAUUUUUUCUUCUAGUUGUAUAAUUUAGAACAACCUCACGAGUAGGUUUCGAACGGAUAUUGUAGCAUGAUUUUGCCCUCGUCAUUUUACCUUCAUAUCAUGUCAUCCUCAUUCAUAUCUGUUGAUAGAAGAAAAUGCCAUUCUCAUUGAUAUCAGCAUGCACCGCUCCUUUUGAAAUAAAAGGAAUUUAUUGUAUAUGAUUCUGCCCUUUCAAACUGAUAAGGUAAGUAUAAACUUUACAAUGAUUUUAUAGCCAGCCUCCCCUUUUAAGCGCUAUGGUUUAUGAGAUAUACUGUACCACCGGUGACGUGGAAUUAGUUAAAAGAUCUCUACCUGCACUACUCAAAGAGUAUGAAUUUUGGAAUUCAGGUAUCAAUUACUCUACAACUUUUGCCUCGAUAACUUUAUUAUCUGCGGUUGGAUGAUAUUUGUACAUGUACCUUCUAUUUUAGGUUACGUUUACCUUUUGCUUCAUCUUGUAGAGAUACAUAAGGUGACCAUUUUGGAUGCUCAAGGUUGCCCUCACACUUUAAAUCGCUAUAAUGCAAUGUGGGACAAACCCAGGCCAGAAUCAUCCACAAAGGUGUGUGUGGUUUGUUAACAACUGUGGUAUUACUGAAAUGGGACUUAAACUAUAACUUUGGGUAAUUCAUGCCAUAGGACAAGGCAUUUGCUUCCAAUUUCUCGAGUGUUUCAGAAAAACAGCAGUUUUACCGUGAGUUGGCAUCAACUGCUGAAUCGGGAUGGGAUUUCAGCACUAGAUGGAUGAGGUACUAUUUUACAUACGCUAAGAUUUUCGACACCUAAAAAGGAUAAAAUAUGAAAAUCAUGUGAAUAUCUGCCCAGGCAUUCGGAUACACAUAAAGUAACUCACGAUGUUCAUUAGGGGCUCCCAAGCCUAAGCAAGACGCUUUCAAUCAAAUGAUUACCUUCCUCAGAAAAACACACAUCGACUUAGUUCUAACAUUUUCCCUUGUUUAAAAGUCAACAAUACUACAGUUCAAUACAAUCGUGUACCUUUUGAUGCAGAAACCCGCCUAAUUUCACAACAGUGGCUACAACUUCUGUAAUACCUGUUGAUUUAAAUGCAUUUCUACUCGGGGUAAGUCUCAGACAAAUGACUAAAAGAAGAUCUGAAAUCAGUGUCUGUUGUAACCUUAUCAAUUCUGUGAUGCCCAUUGGUUCAGAUGGAACUUAAUAUUGCCUUCUUUGCAAAAGUUGCUGGAGAUAAUAGCACUGCUGAAAGGUUCCUGGAAAAUUCUGAUCUUAGAAAGAAGGCAAUGAACUCGGUUUUCUGGAAUGCAAACAUGAAACAAUGGCUUGACUUCUGGCUCGAAAAUACAUGUGAGGUAUUUCUUGGAACCACUAGUAUUAAUCUACCAAUAGAUGAGCUGUCUUAGCCUUCUGUAGUUAUUCUGACUGUCUAUUUGAUACUUUCAGGAGGUUCAUGUUUGGAAAAACGGGCACCAGAAUCAAAAUGUGUUUGCUUCCAAUUUUAUUCCUUUGUGGAUGAAUCCAUUUUAUUCAGGUAUGAUUGAUAUGUUACAAUAUCAACUUUACAAACGACUAAUGAGUAAAUUUACGUAAACAGUUGUUGCAAUCAUUGUGGUAUCCGUUAAGCAUCCUUCUUGUUUGCUAAUCAUAAAGCUAGAACUUCAUGCGCACUAGGUUACCUUGAAUACACACAUUUAUGCAUGAAGUACUAGCAACUUAAAGAUCAUUUUCGGAAGUGUAACAAUUACACCAUUAUAGACUUCGAUUUUCGUUGUUCAAUUAUAGGUUAACAAGUGGCCUUACUGGUCUCGAAUGCCAAAUUUUAAAGUAACUGCAUAUUUUUAAGUACUUACAUUGAAUAGUUGGCCUUCAAACAUAUCGGUAGAUUGCUAAACUGGUUUAGAGUAGCAUGUGAUUUUAUGAAAUAUUGCUAAAAGUCUAUUAAGCAGUGUGACAGUUUAUUUUCCUUUGUGUCAUACAGUACUUUAAAUAAGGAUGGGACUCCUAUUGUAUGCACUACAAAUUUCUACUUUCAAGACUGUUUUUGCUUUGACGUCAAACUAGCACAACCGAUAACUAAUAUUUAUUUGAACUUGGGUGAUAUUGAUCACUAUGAUGAGUUUACCUUUGUCUGUGAAACAUAGAAAAAAAAACAUUUUUCUGCAUUUUAAGUUGAUUACUAAAUAUGUUUAUUUUUUGUCAAGACACUUCACUUGUGGGUAGUGUUGUUGAAAGUCUCAAAACUUCCGGCCUUGUCCGUGCUGCUGGAGUUGCAACUUCUUUGACUGAUUCAGGACAACAGUGGUAAGUGAUAAGCAGGGUGAGGGUGGGGAAGACAGGUGAAAUGUUUCACUUAUCAAUGAUCCUUACAUACUUGCAAUAGGGACUUUCCAAAUGGGUGGGCGCCGCUUCAACACAUGCUAGUGGAAGGCCUUCUAAAAUCUGGGUUGCAAGAAGCAAGGUCAUUGGCUGAAGAAAUUGCCAUCGGAUGGGUCACAACCAAUUAUAUUGUUUACAAGAAAACGGGUUCAAUGCAUGAAAAGUUUAACGUGGAGCAUUGUGGAGAAUUUGGAGGUGGAGGUGAAUAUGUGCCCCAGGUAUCACUACUCUUCAACAUUAUUCUUUUUGGUCUAGGGAAACGUUUGAAAAAAAUAUAUUCUGACUUGAUUGACUAGAAGAAAUUUGACUAAUGACUUCUUCAGUAUGGAUUUCUUAUUUUAGAGAACAUCGAAAAAAUUGUUAUUUGACUUACUUCAGAGAGGAAUUAAAUAAAUGACAUCUCUACCAUCUUCGUUUUCCACAUCAAUUUGACUGGUUGUAUUGCAAUGCAGACUGGUUUUGGCUGGUCAAAUGGUGUUGUGUUGGCAUUCUUAGAGGAGUUUGGAUGGCCUGAAGAUCGGAACAUUGAAUGCUGAUGGUUCAGAAAUUGAAAGGUGGACAAUAAGUUAUGUUAUAAUAAAAUAUUAAUUUAUCUAUGUAUAAAGUGAAUAGUGUCAAAAGUAUGGUUUUAUUUACUUAUAUAAGAUAUUUGCAAGAGGAGAGUGAAGAAAACUGGGUGAAUAAAACUACAUUUUAGCUCUAAAUUUUGUUAGUUUGGUUCAAUUUUUUAAUAUAAAAGUAGUUGACUGAAAUUAUAGAGUUCGAUUUUAUGAUUAAAUAUUAACAACCCUAAUUACAAAAAUGUAUUGGGCUUGAUAUCGUUUGUUGCAAUAAUCUCAACAUUAUGCAGAUUGUUUCUUCCUACUCUUCCAUAUCUUCUUCUCUCACCUCCAUACAAAACAUGAAAAUACAUUUUUAUUCCUCGUGCCACCUUCAUAGAGUAGCUUUCGGAUUAUAUAAUCCAAAAGCGCAUUUGAAAAAAGACUUCCAGAUCACAUAAUCUGGAAGCUAAAAAAGACUUUCAGAUUAUGUAAUCCAGAAAGUAAUCAUGCAUCUGAAAAAAGGCUUUCAGAUUAUGUAAUCCGGAAGCUAAUUACAAAUUUGAAAAAUAACUUUCAAAUUACAUAAUCUGGAAUAUUACAAAGGGGUAUUUUUGAAAAAUUUAUGGAGGUGAAAGAAGAAGGUAUGGAGGUGCAGGAAGAAACAGUCCAUUAUGCAUAUUGGUUGGAUUCAGAUUUGGCUGAUUCUCCCUGCACCCGAUCAUUUGUGAUUGGCACCCAAUUGUAAACAAGAAAAAGACUAAACUACCCUUAAUUAACAUUGACAUUUGGUUAGUGAGAGAUAUGUACCCAACGUUUUCCUCUUCUUCAUUUCUGCAGUGAACCUUACGUCGCAGACAGCACCUUCGAUGGAGCACCACCGUCGCAGGCAGAGCAGGACCUCUGAGGCAGCGAAACCCAGGAGCGAACGUCGGAGAAGGAAGCAUCGUCGGAGAAGACAAAGUAAAUGUUGCAGAUCAAUUUAUUCAAAAUUCAUGUAUGCCUGCGGAUAUAUUCAUCCGGAACUCAUGUGUGCCUACCGAAUAUAUUUAUCCGAAAUUCAACUUUGUAUACCGGAUAUAUUUAUCCGGAAUUGAUGGUUUGAGUUAUGGAUAUUUUUAUCCAUAAUACAUUGUUUGACCUGCGGAUAGUUUUUUCCGGAAGUUGGGACAAAUGGAAACCUGCGAAUGGUUUUGUUCGUAGUGAAUACAAUAGUUUCGGAUGCCUACUUCCGUAAUACAAAGUCCAGACUUUUGGAAGACGAUAUCUGGGAUCGCUUCAGUUUGAACGAAAACAAAGGGGUUGCAUAAAGUUUGGAGUGAUAUGAAGAAUAUAGAAGCAGAAGGAACUGGCCAAUAGUGCCAAUGCAGUGUAUAGUUUUAAAGAACACGGGGAUAAUGUUUUUGGGUUUUGGACUGUGUAGGCUACCAAAGGGGUUGCAUAUUGUCCGACCACAACCACACUAAAAACACUUCUUCUGCAAUGAAGUUACUCUGCACCUCACCAUUCAACGUUUUCAAAAGUGAAGAAGACAAUUCCAUGCAUUCCGAAUAUUUUCAUCCGUAGUACAUUCCAUGCCUUCCGGAUAUUUUUAUCCGUAACACAUUCCAUGCAUUCUGGAUAUUUUCAUUCGUAGCACAUUCCAUGCAUUCCGAAUAUUUUCAUCCGUAGCACAUUCCAUACCUUCCAGAUAUUUUCAUCCGUAGCACAUUGCCUUCCGGAUAUUUUCAUCUGUAGCACAUUCACCAUUCAAUAUUUUCAAAAGUAAAGAAGACAAGGGCAUAAUAGGAUUUUUUUAAAAAUGUCGGGUGCCAGUCACAAUUGAUCGGGUGCAGGAAGCAAUUGCCUUCAGAUUUUCUCUCCUUCUUUUCAAGUUUCCUCUCCUUAAGUUUGUAUUUUGUAAGGUCUAUCCUUCUCUUCCGUCGUUACACCUCCCUUCCCCUUUUAACAUUCCCUUUUUUUAAGUGUGAUGAAACUUAGUUUCAUUGUAAACAUAUAAGAGGUUUUCCUUGUCCAUCUUGACAACACUAUGCUAAAAUAUAGAGCCAAAACUAAUUUCUAUAUACAUGAUUUUAACAAUAUAUUAAAUGAAAUUAAUUUUUUUUAAAAGCAUUUCUGUAAAAUAACAUACAUGGCGUGGGAAGAUAAGAAAGAGUUCAGACAAACAUGGGCCUAAUGUUUAAUGCUAUGCAGCAAAUUCUUCCUCCACCCAACUUUUUUUGUACCUGCAAUCUAUAUACUUUAAAAUUUCCUAAAAUGCUCUUUAUUCUAGAAGUGAUGAAAAUCUAAAAUUAGAAAUGGAAAAGCAAAUAUGGAAUAGAUUAUUAUAAAGAAUUUAAAAAUUAAAAAAAUUCUGAACUGUAAAAAUUAUGUUCAAUUUAAAAAUUUAAAUAAAAAUAUUUUUGUUACAAAGUGGAUUUAAGCCUAAUUCAACUCCAUAAAAUCAACUCAUAGAGUUGAGAUUUACAUCCACUUAUAUACAAUGAAAGACUCUAAUAUCUAGUCGAUGUGGGAUAUUUCUAUGUAUUUCUUUUAUUUAAAGAUAUUUCACGUUAAAAUUAGGUCGAAGUUGAAAUUUAAUUGGGGGAAGUAAUUGCCAUGCCCAUCAUCAAACCUCGGAACUCAUGGGCUUGGCGUUUUACCUAACAGAUCUGAAGUCACAACCCUUUUUUGUAAAAGAUCGUAACAAAUAAAUAAAUAAAUAAAUAAGCAAAGAAGGAAUCAAAUUUGAAGAGGUUCGAGAAUCUCUUCUUCCAUCUAUUAGGAAAUUUAUUAUUCCGUGAGGAUAAAAACAAUCUGGUGAUACUAUAUUUACAAAACACAAAUGUGAUGUGUGUGAUGUACUAGUAUUUAAUAUUUAGUAGUUGUCAGAACUCUGGUGGUAAUUUAUAUUUUAUUGAACGGUUCAGGUUUUUUUAUUUCUCUGUAGGUGCUACUUUGAAUCUGCAGGAACCAACUUCAUUGGUUGGUUAAUGUAUAGCGUGUCCCCAGUUUGGCACUAGUUUCAUUUCAUUUUUUUCAAUCCAAGAUAUGAAAUCUUCAAUAAGGUUAUUUGUUGUGUCAAAUUGCUUACUUUUUAAUGUUUGGGUUCACGAGUCAGAAAAACUUCAUUUGCGUUUCUGGCAUGUGUCACCAACCAUUCUCUCUUUCCUUUUACUUUUUUGGCAUAUGUUGGUGGAGAUUUGCCUCAACCUUAACUCACCAAUCAACAAAUGUCAGCUAUUAUUCUGUAAUCAAUAAAGGAAUAGACUAUGGAUUAAACAAAAUUGGUGGAUGGAUGAUUAGUCUCACUAAAACAUUUUAUAGUUUAUUUAUGCUGAUUAAGAAAAUUCAAAAACUUAUUCCUAAAACCAAGGAUGCGGGUCCUCCAAGAUUCGACUCAAAACCCAUGAAAGAGUGGCAAUCAUUGAAGAAUUCUUGCAUUCAAAUGACACCACUCAAUAAUGAAAACAAGCCAAAUGUGUUGUUUAUGGUGCCUUUUAUUAUUAUACAUUUAGCCACCCUAGAAUGAAUGAGUGAGUGGGAAGUAAUUGCACCAAAUACCACAAUUUAAUAUGUGAUUUACUUAAUGGAUUUUGCUUCUCCUCACUCGAGUCCCACAAUUGAUUGGUCAAAUCAAGAUGGCUACAAAUCACUAAUCACCCAAACUAGUGCAUAAGGGAAAGAUAGAUAUAUUUGGUUCAUGAUUGUGCCAUAUUAAACAAUGCACAUAAAAUCUAGGGUUUGAUAGUAUGGGUUGUGUUUAUAUGCAGGAGACAAAUCAAGAAGAAAACCACUUUUAGGCACAACUAAACUAGUUCUAACCGAGGUACGAUUAUGCCUCCCUCAGUCCAUUACUCCUUUUUAUCUAUCAUAAACUAUGUUGCAAUCCAUGUGCUUCAAUCUAUAAGCAUUUUUUUUACCCAUUACGUUUUAAAAGUAAUUUUAUUCACAUCAACUACUACUGGUUAAGAUAUUUCAUUUUUUAUAACUGGAUGUAAACUCCAUUUUAUAAAUCGAUUUUAUAAAAUUGAGUUAGAUUUAAAGUUCACUUUUUAGUAUGAUAUUAGAGUCAUUUAAAGUUUAUAAUAUCGAGAGUUUGUUGGGUUUAUUAUGUCACCCGCUAUCGAACCGAUAUCGGACCACCCAUAACAUAUAUUUCCACGUACAAGUUGGUAAUCUCAGCGUGAUGAGAUGCGUUAAAAAUCUCACAUCAAUGAUAUUAGGAUAUUUCAAACCUUAUUUAUAAAUCACUUUUAUGAAAUUGAGUUAAAUUUAAAGUUUACUUCUUAUUAUCAUAUUCAUAUAAUGGAUAUUACCAAAAUUAUUGAUUAUACUUUUACCUUAUAGUUUUUAAGUCAAUUCAUAGUGCAUCCUUUCGUAAAUAUAUAUAAUGGGUCCUUUUAGUUCACAAUUAUUUGGAAUCACAUGAGUCUUUGAAUUCAUUGUAUCAGCAGAAUCCAGGUCUCAUGUUUUCAUUGCACACAAUGAUGAUAGACAAACGUUAAAUGCAUGCUUUGGUGUUGCUCAAUUUAUAUCCAUAGUCAAGUCAGUCUGCAAAACAAUUCUAUUUUAAGUGAGAUCACUAUGAUUCAUGUUACAUAUGAACUCGAUCUAUUAAACACCUUUAACUCUAUUUUUUAAUUCUACCACCUUUUUCUAUUCAAAAUAUUUUAAUUUGUUUAGCGUUUAUGAUAUGUAUUUAUAUUCAUUCUUUUUAUACACUCUUUUUUAUUAGUCUUCUAUUUUUUUAGUAUUAGAUUUUAUUUUGUUUAUAUAAGAAAUGUUGUACACUCUUGGACACAUUUUUUUUUCUAAUAUGUUUCAAUCAUUGGUUAAAAUUUAUUAAAAACACAAAUCAUAACUAUGACACCAUAAAUAAGAAUUAAGACUUACAAAAUGGUAUAAUUUUUAAAUUCCACAAUAUAAAAAACACUCAUAAAACAUAAACAAAUUAUUAAUAAGAAAAUAUCGAGGUAUUGGUAAAGAUAUCACAUAAUAUAAAACCAAUAUUAAUGACAUAAAUAAUAAAGACAUAUAUAUUUAUUUUCUAAGAACAUUUUCGUUAGAGGUGAUACGAAUAUUAUAAAACUUUUUAUUGAAUUUUAUUGACAUUAUAUAACAUUUAACACUGAGUUUUAAAAAAGAUCUCCAUAAAAUUUUAUUAGACUUAUUAAUUAGAAAAAUUACAAAAUCAGUAAAAUAUAUUAGUGUCAAUAAGCUUCAUUGAAAUACCACUUAUUAUGUCAUUGUUAAUAUUGUUGUGGAAGCAUUGUGACCACCAUAUAAAUAUAUACUUUUGAAUUAAUUUUAAUAUGAUCUCUUUUUAAUUGCCUGUAAUUAAAAGAAAAUGAAACACUUACAAUAAAAAAACACGUUUGUUUAUAGUUCAUUUCGAAAUAAAUAUGGUGCAUAAUCUAUUUUCAAAAGAUUAACUAUAUGAAGACUAUAAAACUUGCUUCGUUUAAAUAACUAGACUUGAUUAAAAAAUACAAUUAAAAAAUUCUUUAUUAGAAAGAUAAUGGAGGAGUAGUGAUUUAAAUACAAUUAAUGUUUAGCAUAGAAAAAGAUAAUUAGUAUUUGAACAAUAACGAUUGACCAAUAAAGGUUGAAUUGGGAGAAUAUGGUGAAAUCGAGGAUUGACCAGUGUUUUUUAAAGUCUCACAUGUUCAUAUUAAUAAUGCAACUUUAGAUUUUCUUUUAUAUUUAAUAAAUAUUUACUCGUGUUUUGUAGUAAUCAAGAAUUAAGUAAAUUAACAUAAGGAAGAUUAAUUUUAUAAAUUAAUAAUAUGUAAAAAAAAAUCAUCGAUUUUUCCACAAUCAACAUUUUCAAAAUAUUUGUAUUAAAAAAACAACUUCAUAUAUAUUUAUUUUAUUUUUUAUUUCGAAAUACACUCUCAACUCUCUUAUACUAUAUUGUACACUACAACUAUAAAUUUUACAAAGUUUUAUUUAGUUUCUGAUCACUUUGGAUAUCUCUAUGUUGAAUAAUAAAAUUAAGAUUUGAAUUUGAUAAAACCAUUUAAUUGGAGUACAUUGAGAUGACAUAAAAAAAUCUUAAAUUAUAUAAAAGAUUAUUAUUAUUAUUUUAAAUAUAUUUCUACUAACAAUAAAACAAUAUUACUGAGAUUUAUAAUCUCUUAAAUUUUUAAUUACAUUCAAUAAUUUUCGCAUGUAUUUAUGUAUUAGACGAAAAUAACAAAAAUGAAUAGAAUAAAAAGUUGUGUAAUUAUUUUAUUAUAGAUAAGAAAAAUAUUAUACUUUUAGUUUCAAUAAAAUAAUGUUAAGAAAAAAAGGGCGUAAUAUCAAUUAUUUGGCGUACAUACAUAGAUAUUGUGCAGCGUUGAUCUCUCUUCCCAAUUCCUUGCAUUUAUUGGAUUUCAUUAAUGAACAUAACGCCCAUUACUCACUUCAUUUCUUCUGCCCUUUUCAUCUUCCUUUCUCUAUCCGCAACAUAAUGUUAAAUUAUCAUACCAUCCAAUCACAAAUCUAUAUGUUAAUAACCUUCAUUCCUAAAUAAAUAUUGUAUUCUUUAGAUUAUAUCAUUUAAAUUAAAAUAUUCAAUAUAUAUUAUUUUUACACUAAAGAAGAAAUCCUCUUCUCAAAUAAUUACUAGAAUUGUGAUGAUUUUUUUUUUUAUACAUCUCUAUACUUUCAAAAGACAUUUGAUUAUGGUUAGAGUAUUUAUUGUUAUUGUAAAGCAUACAUUUAUUUUACCAGUGAAUGUGUAUUUUUAGAGAUAUAAGAUAAUGAGUCAUUGUUUGAAAUGAUUUAUCAAGUUAAUAUUGUGAUUGGGAGAAAUUAUGUUCAUGUAAGAAUGACAAUGCAAUACAAGAACUACGGGCUCAUUUUGUUGGUCUCCAUAAAAGUUGUUAUUCCUACUAUUAAAAAAUUAAAAUUUUAUUUUUGUUUCAAUUCAUUCAAUUAAUAUAAAAAUAUAAAUUCAAGUAUAAGGGUUGUUAGAAGGCUUGAUUAAAAAUAAUGAAAGUUUUGUUUUGCAUCUAUUUUUCCUAUAUAUAUAAAUGAAUAAAAGUAUUUUAUCAAAGUUUGGUACAAAAUAUUUUAAUAAAGAUGACUAAUUUUUUAUCUAUUCUAUUGAUUUUUUUAUAUAAUAUUUUUUAUUAAUAAAUUUUAAAUAUAAGACUUAACUUAAAACUAAAUUCAUUAUCACUCUUAAUCAUAACCCUUUAAAUGAUUAAAAUAAAACAUUUCUUUUUUUAGUACAUUAAAUUCAAUUAUUUUAAAAUAAAAUAAAAUAAAUGUCACACUAUAAUAAUGGAUGAAUGUAAUAUGAUAUUUCUUUUUUCUUUUACAAAAAAAUAAAAUAAUUAUUUUUAUUUAUUUAUACGGGCUAGCGGACCAACCUGCGCCCGUCUUGUUGUUGGUCCGCAUGGACUGCGAGUUAUGCGGACGGGCAUAAGAUGAACUAAAUUACUAAGUUUGUCCUGCACUUUUUGGUAGCAGGCUGCAUACCAACCUAUAUAACUCGUUACACAUUGUCAUCCCUAGAUAUGUGUUUUUCUUUAUUAAUUGCCUUAAGACGAGAUUUAUUAUUUGGUGACCAAUGUAUUCAAUCUUCAAGCAAUGUGUGUCGAUAACUUUUUAGCCACUUAAAUAACAUGCAUAAAUAUAUAUUUUUUUUAUUUUAAAUAUUUUUAUUACAUGUGUAUAUUAUAAAUAAGAAUAAAAAAUGUUUUCAAAUAUAAUAUGAAAAUAACUCAAAAUGUGUUAUCAUCAAGUAUCUUAUUUUUAUGAUGGGUGUGUCUUUUAAUAUGAUUUUUAGUUUAUCAAUAACUGAAAUUAGGAAAAGAUUUUUUUUUUUAAAAAAAAAAGACUAUUGUGAUGAAUAGGGUAGAUUUUUUUUAUACUUUAUAUACCUAGUAUUCUAAUUGAAUAAAAUGAAGAAAAUAUUUAUGUUAGGUAAUAACAUUAAUUAUUUCCUAAUUAAAAUUAUUUUACUCUCUCGUUUUAUUAUAAUUGUCCCUACAUAAAAUCAUGUCACUCAAAUGCCGUUGUUAAACAUUUUCUCUUUAUUAUUUAUAAUAAAGUGGAAGAUGCAAGAAAAAUAGUAGAACAUACACAAAUACAAUUGAAUUUUCUGAAGUAGAAGAAAAAAUGGAAAAUGAUUUCUCUGGUAAACAAAAAGUACUAAAUCAGUGUUAUGAUUUCAUACUCUAUUUUUUGUUCUUUAUUAUGAUUAUUCUGUCAUUUUCUGUACAAAAUUUAGUUUUGUAUUUUUGUCAUUAAAUAAAUUUAAAAUGAUUUAAUUUUUAACUAUUUUUCUAAACCAAAAAAAUCUUUAACAUAAUUGUAAACUUUUACUAAGAUCAUAUUAGUUUUUGAAUGAUGAGAAAAAUUGCAUUGAUUGAGGAAAAAUUGGAUUCCUCUAUGAAAGAGAAGCAAUAAAUGAUGGUGUAAAAAGGUGAGUGUAUGCAUUGAUUUAACAUGCAGUGUGGACGUUUAUUAUGAAAAAGUCAAUGGAAUCCUAGAGAAGGGUGAGGUUUAAAAACACAGUUUUUUUUUUUUAAAUAAUGAAAAUAGAAAAGUAAAUAAAAAUAUGCAAACAUUAAUAAAAAAAAUUGUGAAAAGUAUUAAAAUCUAUAUGAAAACACAUUAAAACUUCAUAAAACAGGGCAUUUCUGCUAUCUUAAUAAGAAAAAGUUCUUUUAGUUUCAUAAUUAAAGACACCAGUUAAGAUUUGGCAUAAUUAAAUUCUAACUAUAGUUUUUGUUAUAUUUUCUAACUUAUUUUUCGCUUUAUCUUUGCAUACAUUUUUUUUUAUAAGUUUUUUUUUCUCUCUCUUAAAAUAUAUAAUUUAUUGUAUAAAUAAUGUUCGGAUAUGACUAAAGGUUAGAGUGGUGCCAAGAAAUAAAAAGCACUAUAUCUCAUCAGUGUCUUUCCCUGGCACAUACAUUCACACAAAAGCAAAAGCUCAUCCCAAACCCUACCUUAUCAAACAAUUAAUAAACACACUCAGUUUUCAAGAUUAAAUAAUCAAAAUUUUGAUUAUUUUCAUUCUAAUUAUAUAUACGAAGAUAUUAUUUAUCCUUAUUUUUUACUCCGAACAUAUAUUACUAUUAUCAAGUCACGUUAUUAUUAUAUAUAAUAUUUAAAUUAAAAUAUAGAUACACAUAAUUAACAUUUCAUAAUAUAUAAAUUUGUAAUUUUAUUUUAUAAGUUAAUUUUUAUCAGUUAAGUUUAAAGUUCAAUAUUUAACAUGGUAUUAGAGUCAUUUCGAACAUAUUCCAACGAAGAUAUGUGUUUGUUGGACUUAUUAAGCUAUCUGUGAACCAUUAUUUAAUCACCUAUAAUAUAUAGAUUCACAUACGAGUUGACAGCUUCAUGAAAAAAUGUGUUAAAAAUUCAUAAUAUAUAAAUGCAAAUUUUAUCUUAUAAACUGAUUUGAUGAAGUUGAAUUAAAUUUAAAUAAUUUUUUAAUAUAUGCAGAUAACUAAAGUAUAUUAUUUUUUAUUUUAGGUAAUACAUGCGUGAGAAAUGUGUGUUUGUUUUUCCUUUUUUCUUCCCAUUUUUUCCCUCUCUUCGAUUCCUUCUUUCUGUAGUCUACCUUCCUCAGCAAGUGUCAGAAAUUUAUAUAAUGUCUAAAAAAUCUUAUAUAUAUAUAUAUAAUGUAUAUGUGUGCAUCUUCUUUUUCAUUGUGCUGUGUACCCUUUAACCAAUCUGUUUGUGGCAGUAUCAGUAUCACGCUCACGCUCACGCCUCUUUUCCCCUUCCUCUUUAUCAUUCCCCACUCACUUUUCUUUCUUUUUAUUUUCCUCAUCACUCUUCUCUCUCUCUCUCUCACACCCUUUCAUUGACAUUAAUGCAGAGCUGUAUAUUGCAGUAGCAGCAUCUGCAAAACCUGACAGUGAAAAAGAGUAUCACCUUUUUUACAGUACAACCCAAAGUCAAGUCCUAAAACUCCUUUUUCUCUGUCAUCAGAAAAACAACCAGAACCAGAAUAAGAAGAAUCGCAACAACAAUUUUAUUUAAUUUCCCCAAUAUUAUACUCCCACACCACUCUCAAAACUCUUCCCUCGCUCACUCAAGACAAGAGUAACGUCCACUCCAAAUCCAAAACCAUAUCCUUCAUAUAUCUCAUUUCCAACUACUAACAUGAUCGACACUCUUAAAUACCUCCUCGGCUCAGCCGGUCCAAGCGGCUUCGGCUCCAAAUCCACCGCCGAGCAAGUCACCGAAAACCGCGCCGAUCUCCGCUCCUUCACCGCCAUCAUCACCGGUAAAUUAUUUCCGUAACUACUUUUAAUAUUCAACAUAUUCUCGUAAGUAAUUAUGAAAAUUAUAUACGAUGUUGUUAUCAGGUGCCACGUCUGGAAUCGGAGCUGAAACGGCGCGUGUGUUGGCGAAACGUGGAGUCAGGCUGAUUCUGCCGGCGCGUAGUGUGAAAGCUGCGGAAGACGCGAAAGCUCGUAUAGUAUCAGAGUGUCCUGAUUCGGAGAUCAUUGUUAUGGCUCUUGAUCUCAGUUCUCUCAAUUCGGUUAGAAGCUUCGUAAAUCAGUUCAACUCUCUCGGUUUGCCUCUCCAUCUUCUCAUGUAUAUGAAACAAUAAUCGUCUCAUGCUUCAAUUAUUUUAUUUCCAUUUUUAUCUACAAAAAAAAAAGAAAAAAAA